rnacentral:lncRNA from 1 species
UAGAAGCUAUUCUUUGUUUGCCUUUGUGAGCAGUGCACUUUUCACUCUCUACACACAAAAUGAACACUCAAAAUGCUCAGCAACAUUAAAAAACUUAAUAAGUUAUAUGUAUACAUUACUAUAUAUGUAUUUGGACAUAAAGUAUAAAAAUUUACUAUCAGAUUAACAAAAGAAGUAAUUAUGAAUUGGAAUUAAAUGAUAUUAUAGUUGUUAAAAAAAUACCUAACCAAUUUUUACACAUAGCAUCAUAAAUUGUUAAAAAAAAAUAACAGCACUGAAAUAUCUAAUUACUCAAAUCUAUAAUUCUAUUAAAACACAUCACUGAAAACCCCAAGGAGAGAGGUGCAUAUUCCUAACCUUGCACGGUUAAAAUUGCAUUUUGUUUGAGGGGAGAAAAAUGAUCAGAACUGAUAAGUCAAUAGUUAAAUAGGUUUACUCUGGUGUCAAAUGUUUUUUAAUACAUACAGAAUACUCUCUAUUUAAAUCAACAUUGAUUCUUGCAUACCUUCGGUUAUAUAAUGUUUGGAGUUGAAUGUAUAUAUACCCAGAUGGGAAUAAUUCUUUAUCCGAAACUUAGAACAAACCAACUCAUCCGAGUACGCAAUGGAACUUAGCUACAACUCCAAUAUAAUCAAUGUAAAUUAUUAUAUUGAAACAAUGUGAUCAAACUUAAACAAAACUCCAAAUCCACCAAAAGUUUAAAUUUCUUACCUUGAGUACAGAGGGCUUCAGAAAACAACAACAUUUUAGCCUGGAAAUAAAAUCCACAAAAUUAGAAAAAUGAAAUUUGCAUAGAAUUAACAGUUCUAAAAUGAUAGAUAACAAUAAUCUCACACUAUAUUAUACAAAAAUUUAACCACAAAAAUAGAAAAUGGACAGAUUCAUAUAGGAAAGCAGCAGCAGAGCAACUACUGGAUUCUCUCAAAGAUAAUAUUGUCAAAUUUGUAAGAUUAAGCAAGCAAGAGAGAGUACUGGCUUGCAAAGCGUAAGUUGUUAAUCGACACAUUAUUCUGUCCUAAGUUAAGCAACUGAAGGUUUGUUAAGGCACAUAACAUAAUCAAACCAAGCUUAAAUAUUUUUAAAUACAACAGAAGAAUUUAUUUUUUUUCAAAACCAAGAUAAAAAUCUGAAAAAAAACACAAAAUGCAAGGUAUUCUCUGAGGAAGGAAAGAGUUGCGAACUGCAGAAGACAACAGUUGAGAACGACAAACCACAAAUUCGCCAUAAACCGAAGCAGAGUUGUGAGAACAGACGAAAAUUAAUCAAUCAAUUUCAGAAAAAUAGAGGAAAAAUUAACAAACCUGAUCAAAUAGGAUCUGGAUAAAUCUUAGAACAUACCUGAGUUCAAUUCAACUUGUAUGACAACAGUCCCAACUGUGGGAUCGCCGAUGAUAACAGAGACCAACACCCUAAAGAACCGGAUUCAAUGAGAAGGAAUAGGAGGAAGAAGACACAACCCAAGUUUAAACAUCAUAGAAAAGAAACUAAUGUCAGUACCAUAGAGUUUGAUUUGGGGAUGUCUUUUCUUGUUAGACUAAACAUAUAAACCAAGAUCGUGUAACAUGAAUCACAGCCAUCCAAACACAAACUGUAGUUCAUAACUAUUGUACAGAGUAGAACUCUUACCUGCAGAUCCAGCUUUACACAAAAGCACAACCAUCCCAAAAACCAAAAAUAAGGAACGUAGGAUUUUAGAACCCUGUAAGAAAGGGAGAGUAAAGGAAAGUUUAAUGAUAUAAACAAACAAUAGAACAGAUCCCAUAAGUUCCCUAAAAUGAAUGCUACAAUAUGCACAAAAUGUAACUAUUAGUAAUAGUAACCAAUGUAAUCAAACAUAAAUAAAAUGGUAUCGUCAAUUUUGUUCUUUUUCAUAGAGCUCUGAGGUUGAGUCUUAUGAAAUGGCGAGUUUGAUACAAAUUAUAUUUCUGGCAAAUAUUCCUCUAAUCAGAUGCUCUACCCACUUGACUUCAUCUUCAAUAGCAUCAUUAAGAUCCAAUACAUUCUCAAACAGGGAUAUUGCCUUGGCAUUCUCUUCAUCCUGAAGAGUUUAAUCAUGAUCACAAUUCCGAACUCCAAGUCAAUCAAUUAUCUACAUCAAUGGACUAAUAAAGCAUCCAAUAACAAUAAAAAGUACCCACCUCAACUUUCUUGAAUAUAUCUUGGAAUCCCAACUCCCUAAGAACUUGCUCCCGAAGUCUGCAAAGAAGCUGGAUUUCCCCAACAAAGCAGGAAAAAAAAAGAAAUGUGAAUGCUAGGAAAACGAUGCCGCAAUAAAUCAUGACUACAACAUAAUAGAAAGUGAGAAAUCAACUCAAAUCAAAAUUUCGAGCUUACAAUGCAAUCCGGCGGGCCGCCGUGACUCUCAGGAUCCUUUUUCAAGUCCUCCAGUAUCUCAGUGUACCCUUCAGGCAAAAAUACAAAAAAUUGCAGGCAUUUCCGAAAACCCAAUUCACUCAUCGCAAAACAAUCAGUAAAGUGUGUAUCUUUGAGCAAAUUUCUUAGCUCUUGCCGGAGCGUCGGGAACCGAAGCGUCAGACUCAGCUCGUUUCCUGCCGAAACCAAUCAAACCCAUUAACGAAAAACCCAAGAAAUUAAGAUUUAUGAUGGAGGUUGGGGAAAGGAUGAGGAUUAUCACUUGAAGGAGGGGGUGGAAUUGUAGAAGAGGUCGAUCCAGGAGAGCUCAGUGGGAGUGGGCUUGCGGGGAUUGUUGGAAGGGAAUAUGUAGGGGAUGGUGCAGGCUCUGUAAUUGAAUUCGAUCGGCAUCGUCAGCAGUGGAAAUAAAGAGUGAAUUAGAAGAUUUAUCAGAGAGCUUACCUCUACAGUUAUUGCCGACUUGAACAAAUCAAGCUUCUGUAGCAGUCUACAGAUCACAAAGCUGAGAGAUGGUGAUUGAAACUUGACAGGGAUGUGGUUUAAGUUUUUCUGCGGUGAAGCGGUGAACGAUAGAAGAGAUGAAGGGCUGGUUUGGUAUUGCUGUGCUUUGAAAAAAAACUGUUGUGAGAAUAAGCGGCUAUGCUGUGAGAAUAAGCGACUGUGAAAUAAAUCAGCGGAGUGUUUGGUAAACUUUUUUGUAAAAGUGAUUUUGGAAAAAAAAAGCAGUCUGAUAGUGGAUCUUUUCAUUAAAGAAGCACUGUAGCUCCGUGUGCUUUGAAAAAAAAGCCAGUUUUCCAAAGCUGCAAAUAGCAGCUUCAGCUUUUUCCUUUGAUUUCAACUUAUUCUCAUAGCAGCUUCCAAAAUAAGUUAUUUUUUUUCAGUUUACCAAACACCUAAAACCCUCACAGUUUUUUUUCAUGGGUGCUAUUUUUUUUAAGCACCUCACUCCCAAACCACCCCGAAGAGGGAUGAAAGUUUGCCAUAUGGGGUGAGGAUGGAGGGGCGAAGAAUGAAGAAAGCGGUCGAGGAUCCCACGCGUCACAAAACUGUUACUCAUUUGACAGCAAAGCAAUAGGGGCAAAAUUGAAAUAACAAAAAAGAAGCAGGGAUGAAAAUGGAAGAACACUGUUAAUGAACAGUGUUUUUUGUGUUGGGUUUUAGUAUAUGUAUAAUAUCACUCUGUAAACAAACGGACUUGGCCAAGACCCUAGUAGCUUCACUUCUUCCAUUAUUCGUGUGAUCAGGUGAUCGAGGCAGGCCUAAUCAUACAUAUAUACUAAUUUAAAUUUGACUGGGUCUCUAAAUAAAUUGUAAGAAAAUGAAAUUGCAGAGUCACCCUAUUUGCAGAGUCGUUUUUUUUUAUUAAAUUUUAUUUAUUUAUAUAUAUAUAUAUAUUUUGUUUUUUUUGUUUUUUUGAAGAGCCGGUCUUUCUUGUUUUAGGGUAGCAAAAUUAUAAAAAUUUGCCCAGUAUCUGUGGUUUGCAGAUAAUAUCACUGUUCUUUCGCGUCUAAUAAAGUGAUUAAUUACUCAUUCUAAAAUUUUACUAGGAGAAGCAAUUUUUGCACUCUGUUCUACUAUUUUGUACACUCAUAUUUGUUUAGAUUGUUUGAACAUUUUGUUUAUAUAUGCAAGAAAAGGUCGAAAACGAAUAGGGUGUACAAGAAGAGUGAAAAUAUGAGAAAAUCACUUGUAUUUUCUCAAAUGACAGAGGAGAAGGUGCAUGAUUUGUUUUCUAGUUCUUGGCGUGAGAAAACAAUGGGCUUGUUUACCCAAAAAUACAAAAGGGCUGCCGUUUCAAACUCACCUAAUUUCUUUGAAAAGAUGUGAUUAUUCCCAACUCUAAUCUUGACCUAUAGUCAUGGACUAGCAACGGUGCCCGUGCGAUGCUGCGGGUUUAAAAUUGUAGAUGUUCAAAUCUAUUUACAACUGUUACCAAUUUGAAUGAGAUGUACAAAGAAUUUGUGCAAGCUGGACACAUGGAAUAUCAAUAGUGACAUAAUUUUUUCUUAAGACAUUGGAAAAACUAAGUUAAAACUUGUAAUCACACGACUCUUCAAUCACAUGACACAAAACACAACUACUGUUCACAAACAUGUAUUAGCCAAGAAUGGAAAAUCACCAACGAUGAAAUGUGGUAACAAAUCAAUAACCUCACUUAUAUAGCUUUAGGAUUAACUAUGCUAAUUUGUUUAUGUAAGUGAUCUGUCUGCCCACAUUUUCCUUUUUUUUAGCAGACAAUAGACAUAUUUUGUUUUUUUAAAAUGUGCGAUGACAUAUAAUACUAUAACAGAAUGAUGAAACAAAACAGGUUAAUUUUUUAGCACAACAUGGGUUAAAAUUACCUACAUUUUACAUAUGCAGAUUAAGGGAAGUGGUGGCAAACCUUGUAAUUUGUGCAAGUUGAUCAUCUGCAAUAUCAACAGUGACAUAAUUUGUUGUUAAGGCACUGGAAAAAUUAUAUUAGAACCUGUAAUUACAUGACACUCGAAUCACAUGAUAGAAAACCACAGAGAAUAGAAAUUGAAAAAAAAGAAGUUGAUAGAAAUUGAAAAAAAAAAAGAAGUUGAACACAUUAAGUCUUCACAAAACUCCCAAGAAUGAAAAAUAAGCAAAAAUACAGAUUACCAAUGAAGAAAUGAGGAAACCUAUCAGCAACCUAAAUUGUACGCUCAUUUUAAAUAAGUAUGAUAGAGAGUUAACAUUAUAAUCAAAUUUGAUGAGCCCAACUGGAGAAAAUUGAAUACUAACAUUCAAAGUGGAUUAAAAAGAUGAGAAUAUGCUUUAAAUAAGUAUUAAGUCUGUAUUUAUGUGUAGUACAAUUGUGUGGGAUUAGAAAUUGAAUAUACUAUCUUAUAACUGAAUGAUCAUGCAAGGAAAAUUACCGUGAGAUUGUAAGGAGCAUGGAAAAGUAAUCUAAACAAUUAACAUUACUGAUUAGUAGUUAACUUCUUAGCAUUUUCAUUGUAAAAAUUAAAUAUAAGGGUGUAAAAAGAUGGAUCAGAUUUAGUUGGUUUGGUAAUUUUCCAAGUUAUUUCAGUCUUCAUCAUUUGGAGGAAUAACAUCACUUCCAUCUUUCAACUGUUACUAAUUUAUACACAGACUUUAUUCUUUUGACCUAUUCUAAAUGCAUGAUUAAUCACUUGACUAUACACUGAGUGGUUUAAGAUGGACAUCCAAAAGUAUAAACAGAGAUGCUACCACCAAAGAUGCACCCUCUCCACAUGCUUUAGCCAAAUAACACGUUAGGAGUGGGGGUACCAUUAAAUCUAAUUAAUGAGUGAUGGGAAUGGUUUAUGAAUAGAUUUAACAAUUCCACCAUUACUAAGGUGUUCUUUGGCUUAAUUAAAGCUUGUGGAGAGGGUAUAUCUCUGGUGGGGACAUCUAUAGUCAUACUUUUGGAUGUCCAACUUAACCCCUUAGUGUGCAGGCAAGCAAUUAGCCAUGUAUUGAGACCAGGUGAAAAUAGGAUAGUAUGUAUGUGUGUGUGUGUGUACAUAUAUUGGUAGUAGUUAACUCCCCCAAAGAGAAACAAUAGCAAAGAUUGAAUUUAAAUGCAAAAUGCCAACGAAAGAAAACCAAGAAAAUCUAAAUAAUUUCACAUACCAUUGGAUCCUUGCGAAACCUAUUUGUUGAAGCUACAACUUGGUUGUUGACUUUGUGAUUUCUUCUCUCUUUUUUUAGUGUGUAAUUGUUAGACAAAGCUUGUAACAUCUUAUUUCAUACCUAGACACCAAUCAUGUAAACUUCAUUCAUUAGAAUAUGUCUGAUCUUUCUGAAAUUCCAUGAAUUGUAAUUUUUUACCAAAAAAAUUGACAAAGGUCAAUAUCACACUCUCAACCAAACAUUAAAAAAGUGGAGGGACAAAACAAACAGGUUUUAGUCCUCACUAUAGUUAAAAUAGUUAUGUUAUUUGACAAUUAAAUAGCAGUGAUAGGUAUCAUCUGGAUUAAGAAAAUUAGUCAUUGAAGAAUCUCCAAGAAAUUAUCAAAGUGGAUUCAAGUUUAUAAAAUUUUUAUUGAAAUAAACUAAAAAAAGUAAUAGAAAUCAAGCUAACCUGUGUUUGGUAUAUGGAAGAUACUGGAUCUCCUUUUGGCCUUUGUAAAUGGCAUGUUGUUCAUUGUGUACAAAGCUAAAAAAACACAGUAAAAAUGUUAAUCUAGGCCAGAAAAAGUAUAUAUAGAGUGUAUUAUGUAAAUAUUUUCAUAUAAAGUAAGAAUAUUUAAAACAAUUAAUUGCAAAAAAAAAUAAAAUUUCAAAGAUAAGUCAGAGAAAUCUUUGAAGCAGAGAAAUAUAACAAAAGUUUUCCAAUUGUAGCCAUGCAUAAACCACUAAAAAAAGCCAAGUAUAUUGACAUAGCUGGAAUGCUAACCAGAAGACAUUAGGUUACGUGGAUAAAAAUGGAUUCAAAUAGAAUUGAAAAAGGGUAGGAACAAAUUUUUCGGAUUGAAAUUGACACAUGUAUAGCAAAGAACAUUAAGUUUUAACUUUUAAGCAUAUCAACUCAUGAAGCAUCCCAACAUAUAUAUGGAAAAAGAAUGAUACAAAUACCAGCAUACACAUGUAAAAGCAAUUAUUAACACAACUAACAAACAUUUGUAAAUUAAAAAUUUUGCACUAUUUAACAGCCCGACUCACCUUUCCCCUUUUUUUUCUCAAUUUGACCAAGAGCACUUUGCAGCUCAUAUACAGUGCUUCCAUACCAAUCUGCAGCAAAAAGUGAAAUUACAAAUUAAACACACACAAAACAGUAAAAGUAAAGUAUUUUUCUUUCCAUUCAAAGCAAUGCAUAACUGAAAAAAGCAUAAUUGUAAAAAAGAUUAAACUUUUUUUUUCAAAGCAUAUAUCGUCUAAAACCCAACGUUUAUAAACAGUCGCAUUUUUUGUCAAAAUUGUAUUUGCUUUACCUCCAUAAGUUUGAUUUCUUUUCAGUGUUUUUUAGAGCUUGACGAAACCAUGAAGAGACAAACAACAGCACUCAACUGUUUUUGCAACCUUGUAACCAGUUACACAAAUAAGAAUGCAACAUUUCUAUUAAAGCAUGUAAUUCUCCUCUUCCUAUAUUCUUCCCCUUUCUCUAGCUAAAUAAAAAUUUCCAAAACUAUGUACCAAAAGCUCAAAAGUGGGAUUCAAAGAGUCAAAAUGUUCAAAUGCUAUAUUUUUAUUAGGACUUCAUAGUCUAUUUAACACUUGGUUUCUCGAGUAGUAAGUUUCCCAUUCUUUGUCUAGUUAAUUUCACACGCCUACAACAAAUAAAAUAGUUGAAUAAUUUCAGUAUUUUUAUGUGCCUACUAAAGUACACAUAUGAAUAUCAAAACAAAAACCUCCAAUUAUCAUAGCAUUCCCUUUCUAUCUUUAUUUUUGAAAAAGAAAACACAAAUGGAAGAAAAAAUUCCACAAUUUGAACUUGUAACUCGUAACCACAGAGAGUCAAUAGCACUUCAAUUAUGUAAGAAGGGAAAGGGGGUGCAAAUAAGUGAUGCUCAAUUGAAAUCACUGCCUAGUUGUCAACUCUUUACUGAGUUUAUCCCAAUCAGCAACACUUUAACACAUCACCUUCCAAAAACUCUGCAUGUAUACCACGGAAUGAAAACACUUUAUACUCCAACCAACUUAACCCAUAUAACAUAUGAAGUCAUCCAACAGUUGCAGGGGGGGAAUGAAAACUGUAUCUAAUGGCACAACAACAUAAAGUUAUUUGUGGCAAAUCUUACAAUCAUAUGCGUCUCGAACCAUUUGAUAUCUGACGAAUCCUGAAAAAAAGAGUCAGCCGAAAUCAUGAAACCAAAAAAUCAGAAUGUUUACAAAGUAUUCCUUGAAGCAAAAGCAUGCGCGGGACAUUCACUUAAAAAAAUGAAAAGCUUUCAGUACCCAAAUAGCUAAAAGCCGAGAACAAAAAAAAAACAGUACCUUUGCGGGUUUGGAGCUCUUUUCUUAUAAAUAUUAUAGUAUUGGUGUGGCGCCUCAAUUCGUGGUGUUUCCGUCGAUAACAAUCGAAGGUGGGGCAGCUGGUUUGGGUGAAGAAGAAGAGGAGGAUCCAAGCCUACAAACAGAAUCACAAAAAACAAACAUAAACACAAAACCCAUCUGCACACGAUCGGAUCGGAAUCGAAAGAAAGAGAUAGAGAGAUCUAAACAAAGGGAAACACAGACGGAGAGAGAGGAGAAAAGAAGAGGAAAGGGAAAUGCCCAGAUCAGAAAACUACCACAAAGAAAAAAAAGGCGGAAGCUGAGUAGAAUACUCUCGAAGCGAAUAGAUCAACGAUGAAAGACGCGUGGCCAACAUGGGUAAAAGAGACUUUCCACUGCACAAAAAAGGAAUCAAUGCUUUGAGCCAUGAAAAAACAGAGGGCAUUUCCAACCAAACACUGUUCACGAACAGUGAAAAACAGUACCGGGGAAACCGAGUUUUAGUAUAGAUAAAAUAUCAGUAUGUCAUCACUGUGGAGAAUUUUCCUACUUGUGGGUACUGACUUUUUGACUUGUUGUUUGUAUGUGUCACCAUCAUGGAACACACUGGCAGAGCAAGUUAAGGGCUGCCCUCAACUGUAGCCCAGGUAGUUUGCAGUGAAAAAUAAAAUUUUACAUGUAAUUUUGAUUGAUUUUCGAAUGUAACCUAACAAAUAUUUAGUUACUACUUCAAAUUUUCUAGGUUUAACUAUAUAAAAUUAUAUAAUACAGUUUGAAAUAAUCUCUUUUUCUUACAUUAUUUUUCUCAUCGUUUCUUGUAAAUGUACAAGUCUGGAUUUGUUUAAUUUAACACGUAUUUGUUUAAUUACAAAAUUUUUUGACUCACCUUGUGAAUUUUUUUAAGCUAGUUGAUACUAUGAAAAAUACGAUAUCAAGUUUCUUUAUUUAUAAAAAUUAAAAAUUUUAAGCUAGCCCACCCAGUAAAAAAUUUCUAACCCCACUAUUAGAACAAUAUAAAAAGUCCGAAAAGAAAAUAUUUUUAUCUCAAAGAAAAAUGUUGAAAUAGGAUAAGUGACCACACUAUUUAGUUACGCGUACAGACUGAUGAGGUAUGGCAAAUGCAAACAGGUAGCCGAGGUCUUGAAAACUCAAGAUAUGAAGGUCGUCCCUACUAAAAGAAUUGUGCUCAAUUGUUGAGCUUCUUUUCAUUUUCUGUUUAUAUAGAACUUUACAAGUAUAGUUAAUUAGAACUUUACAGGUAUAGUGAAUAUUUCACAUGGAUACACUGCAUCAAUGUUUCUGCAUCUGAGUAUGGGCAGCAUUUGUUUAAUGCAUGCGUGGGCAGCAUUUGUUUAAUGCAUCUGCAUCUGAGUAUGGGCAGCAUUUGUUUAAUGCAUGCGUGGGCAGCAUUUGUUUAAUGCAUGCGUUGAGUGUAUUGCAGAGUCAUUCACAUGGGCAGCAUUUGUUUAAUGCAUGCGUUGAGUGUAUUGCAGAGUCAUUCAGCCCAAUAGGUUUGUGGCAUGGAUGCAUGAGCAAGAAGAGUGAGACCAGUUUCAACCAAAUGACGAUGUUUUCGUUCUGCCAUACCGUUUUGUUCAGGAUGGUGAGGGCAUGUAUAUUGAUGAUGAAUGCCAUGUUUUUCCAAAUAAGAUUUGAAAGUUUUGUUAAUAUAUUCUCCUCCACCAUCCGUUUGAAAAGUUUGGAUUUUUGUUUGAAAUUUAUUCUCCAUUUCAGUUUGAAAUUUAAUAAAUGUUGAGAACACAUCAGAUUUUAGUUUUAAUGGAUAAAGCCAUGUAUAUCGUGAAUAAUCAUCAAUGAAAAUCACAUAAUAGCGAAAACCAGAAAUUGACAAAGUAGGGGACAUCCAUACAUCAGAAUGAAUAAGUUGUAAAGGAAAAUGAGAAAUAGAAUUUGAUGGGGAAAAUGGCAAUUUCUUGCUUUUGCCCAGAGGGCAUGAAUGACAGACAGAAUUAAAAUGGUGCCUAGUAAGAGGCACUUUGCUAGAGGAAGCUAAAUGCUUUAAAAUAAAUAACGAAGGAUGACCGAGUCUAGAGUGCCAAAUACGAUCAUCAACCUUGACUCCCAUGCACGAAAACAGUCCAUGUCUUUUAAUGGAAUUAAAACUUGAAUAAGGAUAAACACCAGUGUUACUCCGGCCUGAUAAAAGGAUCCUCCCCGAGCGGAUAUCCUGAACACGGAAGAAAUUAGGAUGAAGGACAAAGAAACAGUCAUUGUCAGAAGAGAAUUGAUUGAUAGAUAAUAUAUUUUGAGAGGCAUCAGGGCAAUAUAAAGUAUUUUUAAGAGUAUAGGAGCUAGUAGGAGAGUAAAUAAAAGAGGUGCCUAUGUGGGAAAUGUGCAAACCUUGAGCACCAUUAACACCACCGACUUGAUCUAUGCCUGUGUACUCCUGUGCAUUUGUAAGUUGUCCAGGAUCAUUAGUAAUAUGUGUGUUCGCUCCAGAGUCCAGAAGCCAUGUUGUGAGAGCAUGAGAUGCAGACUGGGGUACACGGGUUGACUGUGCAGCAAGAGCUGUGAGACGAGCACUUGGAACACGACCUUCAUAAGAAGUAUUCAUACGGUUGUAACAGUCAAUGGCAGAGUGACCAUUACGACGACAAAUCUGACAGCGAAGUGGUGGACGAUCAGACGAAGAGGGACCUGCACCAAGGAUACCGCCAUGGGGACGUCCUGGAUUAGGAGCAGCAGCAACAUGUGGGCGAGCCUGAUUGCCACUACGAGGAUGGACAGCACCACGGCCUCCACCAAGGGCAAAGCCUGCAUGAGCAGUCUGCCGACGUCCACGAUUAGCAACAUGGCAGUCAAGACAGGAGUGUCUCCAGACAAAUUGAAGGUAAGGUGACGAGCUUCAGCACUGAGCAGCAGUGCUUCCAAAGCAGCAUACGAAAUAGGAUUUUCUCGGGCUUGAAUGGAGGCGACUGUGUUCUCAUACAGUGGUCCAACAUUAUUCAUGAUCGUGGCAAUUAAGUCCGAGUCAGCAAUGGGAGAACCAGAUAAGGCUAACUGAUCAGCCAAGGUGUUGAGUUUGUCCAAAUAAUCGGCAAUACUGAGAUCACCACGCCGGAGAUUGAGAAGUUCCCCGCGGAGUUGAAUAACACGAUUGUGGGAGGAAGGUGCAUAUCGGUCCUGUAAAGCCUUCCAGGCCUCGGCAGCACUAACACAUUUGACGACAACAUGCAUAACAGGAGGAGAGAGAGAACUAGUCAGCCAUGAUAGAACCAUCUGGUCAGUUUGGAUCCAAGGUUCGAAGAGAGGAUUGAUGGUGUCAGUGAGUUGACCAUCAUCAUUCAGUUGAUGAGCAGAAGGGCACUGAGAAGUGCCAUCAACAUAUGGCAUCAAACUGCGACUGCGAAGAAGGGGAACAAACUAGGCACGCCACAAGGGAUAAUUAUGGCGAUCAAGUUUUAGAGGAAGAAAUGCAGAAACAUUAGUGAGGGCAGCGGAAGAAGACAUUGUAUUUGGAAGAGAAAUAUGUCGUAAGAAUUGAAAAAGGGAUGAUACCAUAAAGAAUUGUGCUCAAUUGUUGAGCUUCUUUUCAUUUUCUGUUUAUAUAGAACUUUACAAGUAUAGUUAAUUAGAACUUUACAGGUAUAGUGAAUAUUUCACAUGGAUACACUGCAUCAAUGUUUUUGCAUCUGAGUAUGGGCAGCAUUUGUUUAAUGCAUGCUUGGGCAGCAUUUGUUUAAUGCAUGCGUUGAGUGUAUUGCAGAGUCAUUCACAUGGGCAGCAUUUGUUUAAUGCAUGCGUUGUAUGUAUUGCAGAGUCAUGCAGAGUCAUUCACAACACUUGGUUUAUCACCUACAACUUCAAAUUAAAAUUAAUCCUUAGAAACUCGCAUGCUAAAGAUGAAGAUGCAAGUCAAGAUAAAUUUGUUAUUAGUUAGUUUAAUCAGCAUAGUUAAGUUUGUUAUACUUGUUUGUGAUUAGACAAGUUUGUUGUAGUUUCCUUUGUACAUAGCUAAGUGAUAUAUAUACAGUGGAACUAUGAUUGUUUAGGGCCGGAGUAAGGCUAAUCCGAAUAUCAAUACCUCACAAGUCCGAUCAUGAACUUGACAACUUCGAGCAGAGCUAGAUCAAACAUAGCAUGCCACCAUCAUCCAGUUCCAGGGCAAUAGGUGAAGUCCGAGCAACUCAGUUGGUAUGAUUAUGCUUGUUCCACAAGGCACAAGAUUUGAUUCGGAUAUUGACACAAUCAGAUUCCUCAUAAAUCUUUGAGUUCCUACAAUCUAGGAAUUGGCGUGCGCCGCAAGUAAUUACUACUCCUAAGAGGGCGCAAUAUCUACUUCUAGAUAUCUCUUGGGAUUCUUCCAGUUUAGAACAAGAAUUCUAAUCUAAAAAGCUCUCCUCACAGUAUAAAUACACCCAUCUAGUGCUCGUCUUUGGUAACACAAUCUUAGUACUCUAUUCUCUUGCCCACUGUUUGAGCCUAAAAUUGCUUACUAACUUGACUGUUGGACAGCCUUGGCCGACAUACCCCACCCUGGUCCUAGGCUUGCUCACGGUUGUUCUCAAUUUUGCAGAUUGCUCGAAUUUGUGUCUCCAUUAUUUGGAACAAUCUGCAUAUAUAUUUUUUCCAACAACUAGCGCUUUUAUUGAGAAUGAAUUCAUAUUCCUCUCGACAAAAUCACUCUACCCCAAUGGAGAUUCCCCCCAAAUCAUAUCGCGAUGAACUACAUGCUCUAACGCACAACAUUAACCCCGAGAUCGACGGAGUUACCACCAUGUACGAGAUAUAGAAAUAUGUGAUGCAUAUUUAUCUAUCCUUGGAGGACCUUCGACGGAGCCCCUCUCGCCAAAGAACCUAUAAGACUCAUCGAUUUGAAGGCGCGAAUUAAAGACCUGGAAGAGGCCAUCUCGCGCUUUAAAGAAGUGUCAGUCCAGACAAUGGAAAUCGUUGAUCUGACUCUCGAGGCGUCACCCCAACGUCCUUCACCGAAGACGUACCAUAAAAAAUCUAGGAGGCUACAAUGCCUACAUCCCAUCCAACGAUUGGACAAAGAACCAUUCCCUAGAGUGAAUUACAUAUACAGCGAGCAAGAAUGUCUGGAAACACUAGGAAAGAAAGCAGCAUUUGACAAAUUUCUUGUCUAAUAUGAUUUUACGGUAAAGAGACAUGUAAUGCGGCCUAUAGAUAUUGCAAAAUUUCUGAAAAAAAAAUAUUGAGUACAUAAAAGUGUGAAAUUUUUAAAGAUUCAAAAAUUCAAAAAAUUAAGUUAUGAUAUAGCAACUCUGUUGAUUUUUGUAUUUCUAUAUGGUUUUGUAUGUGUUAUUUCUAGAAAAAUGAAGAACAGAAGAAAACAAUGAAAAUUUGAAAAUGGAGAGUAUGGUGCUCUCUUGUAUUUCUCGGUGGAUUCGAUUACAGAAGCAUUCAUUCACACACACAUACAUAAGCUAUGAUGAGGUGAAUAGGGACAAAAAUAACCGUUCGAGUGUGCACGCUUUGCUCGUGUAAGCAAGCUCACGUGUACUACACGGGAUCAAUUUAAAACACCACUAAUCGGGACAGGUGGCACACUCUGCACCAUUUAGAUGUUUUAAUCAUAACCGUUUAUUACACUAGGAUUAUAAACUCCAACAUUCAAAUUAAAACUCAGCCAUAUCAAUUUGAACUGCACUAUGUUGCAAUCCAGCAACCUUGAUUCACAGCAACAUCCUUAUACUGCAACAAGAUCUGUCCAAUUUUGACAAAAAAAAUGACAAUUUCAUCGACUGUCAUUGGAAAAUCUGUUUUACUUAUUAAAUAUGGAUACGAGAAAGACAAUAAAUUAUUCUAGUUCCUAACAACUUUCUCGACUAUAUUAACACAUAAAAAUGAAAUAUUAUGUAUUAAAACUUGUAAUCGGGUAAUACAUUCAAAACUAGAACUAAGAGAAACUAAAAGAGAGAGAGUAUCUACAUGAUAGUUUCUCGUUAUUAUUAUUAUUAUUAUUAUUAUUAUAGUCAUGAGGCUACUUGUACACAAACUGAAUCCACAGAAUAUCUCAGGCUUGAGGGACAAGCAUUUCCCUAACGCGUUUCAUAUGGGCAACCAAUUUUUGGUAGUCAGGAAGGUUGUCUCUGAUGACAGGAACUUGCUUGAAAUUCUGAACCCAUGCAUGCAAUCGAGGCAAAGUGCUUGGCUCAAGCAAUUUGACACCCACCAUUUCUUCAAUGGCUUCGAACCAAAGAGCCAGCCAUCCAUGCGUUAUGUCUACCAACUUUGUACCAUCACCCCCAAAAAACUUCUUGUCUCCAAGCCCUUGCUCUUCUAAUAUUUCAGCGUUUCCAACACUGAUUCGAUUGUCUUUUGUCCAUCUUCUCCGGCAGUUAAUCCGAAAAAUGCAUGAAAACUGAUAUGAUUAAGCACUUAUGUUUUAUAGCGAAACAUAAAUUCGUGCGCAUGCUAAUCAUAGCUAUUUGGCGUCAAUCUGCCCUCCUGCUAGAGGGCAUGAUGGCAAGCUAGGUAGGAAAAAUCCCCAAUUUGAUCAUCACAAUGAUUUGUCUUGUUCUUAACAAACUAAAAAUUAAACUAGUGAGAAAAAUUGAACCCAUAUGAGCAGCAUAAAAAGGUCGUACCCAGUGCAUAAGGCUCCCGCUUUACGCAGCAUAUUUCUGUAAAUUAUUGGAAGUCUCUCAAUGUAUAGUUGAACUAGAUAAUUAAGAGAAAAGCAGGUGACAUAAUUGAAACUUGAAAUUAUUUACGUGAGAUACAUAGAAUUGUAUCCAAAACCGAGCCAAGUCUCUUCCAUAAGUAUCUUCAGGCAGUAGAUGAUAUUCUGGCCAAGUUUCUUCAAUGUAUUCAAGGAUGACAACUGGCUUGGAAAUCGGUUUUUCCCGGUGAAGAAGCACCGGAACCUUCUUGUAAACUGGAUUGCACUGCAACAGAAGGUCACUUUUGUUGGAAAGGUCCUGUUCUAUGUACUCAUAUUCACAACCUUGAACUAUAGAGCUCAUAUAACUCUGUAAACAAACGGACUUGGCCAAAACCCAAGUAGCUUCACUUCUUCCAUUAUUCGUGUGAUCAGGUGAUCGAGGCACGGCCUGAUCAUACAUAAAUACUAAUUUAAAUUUGACUGGGUCUCUAAAUAAAUGGUAAGAAAAUGAAAUUGAAAGGUCCUCUUCGGAAAAUGAAAGAAAGUGACAGGUCUUCCUUUCUUUUUUUUUUUUAAGUUAUAUUAUUAUUUUUUUAAGGGUAUGUCUUUCUUUCUCGGAACUCUAUUUUACUAUUUUGUACACACUCAUAUUUGUUGAAGAUUGCUUGAAUAUUUUUUUUUAUAUAUGCAAGAAAAGGUCGAAAACGAAUAGGGUGUACAAGACGAGUAAAAACAUGAGAAAAUCACUUGUAUUUUCUCAAAUGACAGAGGAGAAGAUGCAUGAUUUGUUUUCCAUUUCUUGGCCUGCCGUUUCAAACUUACACAUUUUCUCUGAAAAGAUGUGAUUAUUUCUACGCUAGCUACUCUUGACCUCUAGUCAUAGACACCUGUAUUUAAUCGCCAUGCAGAAUUUUCACACUUGUGGGUACUGACUUUUUGACUAUUUGUUUAUAUGUCACCACCGUGUGGAACAGUACAAAAAUUAAUCUGAGAACAACGUUAUUUUAUCUUGCAGAAAAAUGUUGAAAUAGGAUAAAUGACCACAGUAUUUACUUUUCGCUUUAAUUUAAUCAUUUUUCAGCAAAAAAAAAAAAAAAAAAGAAAGGGAAAAGACCACACUAUUUAUUAGGCCUGGGCAAGAACACCGACGACCGAAACCGAACAAGAAAAAAAUUGGUCGGUUAAAUUUGUUCAGGUGUUUAUUUGGUUCUGAACAAAACCGAACCGAUUUGAAGCAUUUCGGCUCGGUACCGGUUAUCUAUAUGCACCGGACCGAUUUCUUUUUAAACUGGUUUGGCCACGUGGCUGGGUUUAAUUGGUGGUAGCCAAGUCCAUAAAUGGACUCCACCACUCCAAUCGUAAUGGUGAAUCAAUCACCUGUAUUAUUUGCCUUUUUUUAAAAAAGGAUUUUGAUUUUUAUUAAUUAGAAUUUGGGGGUUUUGAAUUUCAUAUAGUAAUUGUUUUUCUAUUGGUUUUGUGAGCACUAAGCUGCGAGCGCUCGUGUGUGUGUAUUAUUUGGGUUAAUAUUUGAACAUUGGGUUGCAAAUGUAAUGUGUGGAAGCCCAGAGAUACUAACUAAAGGGAGACUUGCCCGAAGCCCAAGCAUCAAGCCUAGAGACAAAUUGUCGCCUUCCUAUUAAUGCAUAGGCCAUGUGCCUAUGAUUUAAAUGUCAAGUGAUGGGGACUAACUCAUAAUCAGCCAAAAAGCACUUUUCGAUGGCAAUACAAGAAAAAAGCUGAUGACUCACUACCCUCCAAGUGCUUUUGAGCAAGAGCAAAGUCAUUGCAGUCGGGCUAAUUUGCCUAUAAACGGAGGAAGAGGCCCCAGACACAAAGACUCUCAACCAAUCAAACAAACAAAGAUACAAACUCUGCUCUCAAGCCAAAUUUGCAUCUAAAAGCUGUAAUUAGCCCCGAUCUCAGUCAUUUUCAGGAUAUCUCCCUCACAAAGCUAUCUUUUGUCUUGAUUAGAAGCUCUGAUAUCACCCCUAGUGUCGUAGUAUCGAUUCCCUUGUGUAAAUUGGUUUACCAUCCAUCCUUUUCUAGCAUAGAAACCACUAUAAACUCAAAGAGAAGUGACUACAAGAGGUUCAACCUUGCUAGACAAGGUGCAAUCUUGCCCGAAGCUCUUUGUUUGCUUUCUGAAUUUGUAGAUCUAUUCCUUAAUGCAUUCUCCAGUAUGUAUUCAAGUCAUAUCUGUCUGUUUUCCUUCUUUAAAAGUCUUAUUUGUAUCUGGAUCUAGUCAAUUUAAUAGAUAUGCUUUCAUUUAAAACCAAUUAAGCCAAACAAAUGACUUAAGGGAUCUGGACUCUCUUUAUUCGAAUAUACAAGACUAUGAACUGAAAGUCCUUAGUCACAAGGCAAGAUAAAGAACUUAAUGUGGACUUAACCCAUCCACGACAAUCAUUUGAUAACAAGAAGUCCGAGUAACUUAGGGAGCAAGUAAUCGACUAAACACAAUCUUGUUCUACAUUUGCUAUACUGAGAUAGCAGUGGCACACCUAGCACUUAGUUAGUUUUGAUUGCGAGCCUCAAGGCCUACACCUAAGGCCCUACAAAGACACCUUUCAAAACUAACUCUGUCAUCUUCUUGCAACACAUCAGCAGGCAAGAGCCCGACUACACAUCCAAAGUGCCAAUUCCUUGGGGAAGUGUGCUAAGAGCAGGGAGCCCUAUCCAGAGAAAUCUUCGUCCGAACAUGUACAAUAUGUUAGAUUUGAUCUUCAGAAAGAAUGGGACAAACUGGGGUUGGGAAUAAGGUAGAAAGGGAAACAUAAUUUGAACUUCGAUUUUCAUACUUGUGUAAGAUGAACUAAGAGACAUAAAAAACAAGAUUAGUCUCUUCCCAUGAACCAAAUUGAAUCAAGUGAUUAAAUCACAACAUUAGCAAAGAUAUAAAAACUGAGUGUUGACAAUGCAUGGAAAAAUACUAACCUGCAAACAUGUUGCUAGAUGAAGAGGCCAUCGCAGCACUUACACAACCCUUCUCCUUUCUACAAAUCUCAAUGCUCUUCCAAGAAUAGGUUAUUGGUACAAAACAAGAGCAUUAUUUGUAAGAGUAGUGGCUUAUGUAUUUAUACUAAGAACAUCGAUUGCCCUAUUACAAUCCUACAAGGAAUACAAGACUACAUGCCUUAUACCAAUAUGAGUCCUAUAACCAAGCAUACACAAGAGUCCUCAACAAACCAGAAAUUGGAUUAACUCUUGUCAACAUGAAUUAGACUUCUUUAUAAUAUCGAUUAUCCCAAAACUUGUAAGAAUCAUACUCAUACUCUUACAUUCUCCCACUUGAGUAUGAUCAAAACAGAUAAUCAUCUCAAAUCAUUAUAAAGGUGAUCACACAAGUCAUUUUUCAACACACUAGUAAAUAGACACAACCAGCUUAUACAAACCAAAACAAUGAACUUAUAAUUUCCUUUGCAAUACAAAAUGUAGAUUUAACUCAUAAAUCACAAUGUCCAAUUCAUGUUCAUAGCAAUGUAUCUAAGCUCAAGAGUAAACUGUAACAUCUACUUUCAUUCAUAUGGCCCAAAAUUGAUAUAAAAAAUACCAAACAAUCUUGACAGUAAACUGUUAACUCAAAAUCAUUCAUAAUGAAAUAAACAGCACAGUUAUGAUCUAAUCAACAGCUUUAUCAUGACUAAAAAAGAUUCUCAAGCUUUUAUUGAUCUAAAAAUUGUUCUCUAGAACAAUUAAUCAUAGAUACGUCUAGAAAAAUUGCAAUGAACAUAACCAUAACUAACUGCAAAACAAAAACAAACUAGCUAAAUAAGCUGAAAUACUUAGCUUUCAGAAAACUUUUGCAGAAAACCUCUUUUUGAAAAGUAUUCCACUGUUAUCUUCCAGUAGCUCUAACAUAUGGUUGAAUACAGCAACAAUCACUCCCACUUUUCAAAAGCUUCUAAUACUCCUAUCCGAGUUACAUGAGUCUUGAAAAUUCCAUUCGGCAAUGCUUUUGUUAAAUGAUCGACAAUCAUCAAAUCAGUAGUCAAAUACUCCACUAUAAUUGCACCUUGCCUAACAUUCUCUCUAACUUUUAAGAAUUUCACAUCCAUCAAUCUCGAAGUUGAAGUCCUUUUGUUGUUCUUUGAGAAAAACACUGUAGAAUUGUUGUCACAAAACAUCUUAACUGGUCUCUGGAUUGAGUCUACAAUCUUCAACUCACUGAUAAAAUUCUUAAGCCAGACUGUCUGCUUUAUGCCUUCCAAGCAUGCCACGAACUCUGACUAAGCGAAUGUUGCACCAGUAGACCAGAUCGAGAUCAAAACCCAUACCCACUUCUUCUGGAUUGGAUCAAACAAGAGCAUCUAAGGCAGAAAUAGUAUUUAGAUGAUAUGGACCCCGGUGAGAACCUCCAAUUUCUUAGGGGUCGCACUUUUUCCCUCUUGGAAACUUCUAGUUCUUCCUAUUUGAUCCAAAAUCGAUCGAUCUAGCCAUUUAAAACUGGAGUAAUGUGGAAUGCCUUUUCCCACCAAUAGGGAUCUGGGCAAGUGAGAUUAGUCCCAUUCCUUUGGUCUUUGUCCACCUUGUCUUGUGAAAGCAAGACAACUCAAAAUGAAAAAAUAGCCCUUUUUCGCGAAUCGAAUCUUGUUAAGCGUUAGAUAAAUUCCGGUCUUAGGUUGAUUUCCCUUAUGCAUCCAGCUGCUUCACUAAUGUGAAUAGGUUAUACAGAGGGGUGGGUUGGUUAUAUAUACUCUUAUGCGCGUUCCUUCUUCGAACCUUUUGGCGCCGAAGAACAAAUAGAAUUUGCUACAAAAGCCUGCUAACGGGGGUAUUCCUACUUAGUCUUCUUUGGAUUCAGUCUCGUUCGAUUGUUAAUUAGUCCAGUAGAGGUAGAGAUCAUAGUUUGCUUGGCACUUCUCCACGAAAUGGCACCUCCAUUAAACAUGAAAACAUAGCCAACAAUUGAUUUUCUUUCGUCCAGAUCACCAGCUACAUCAGAAUUUGUAUAACUAACUACUUCCAGUCCAUUUUCUCUACCAUAAACUAACAUGAAGCUCUUUGUUCUUUGCAAAUACCUUAAUACUUUCUUUGUAGCCUUCUAAUGUGAUUCACCUAGAUUAGAUUGAAAUCUACCCAGCAAGCCAACAAUGAAAGCAAGAUCCGGCCUAGUACAUAUGUUGGCAUACAUUAAACUGCCUACCAAAGAAGCAUAUGAUUUUAAACUCAUUUUUCUCUUGUCCAACUUAGUUUUAGGACAUUGAUCUUAAGUGAAUUUGUCCCCUUUAUUCAUAGGCACGUCAGCACCAUUGCAAUCUUCCAUAUUGAACUUGGCUAAAACUCUCUUAAUAUAUCCCUUUUGUGAUAACCCUAGAAACUUUUUUUGUCAGAUCCCACAUCGCCCAGGGGAGUGGAUCAUAUAUGCCUUAUAUGUACAUGCCCACCUCUAUAUAUCACGAGGCAUUUUGGGAGCUCACUAGCUUCGGAUUCCAUAGGAACUCCGAAGUUAAGCAAGAUCGCAAUGAGAGCAUUCUUAGGAUGGGUGACCCACUGGGAAGUUCUCGUGUGAGUUCCCAGAAACAAAACCGUGAAGGUGUGGCCCAAAGCAGACAAUAUCGUGCUACGGUGGAGUCGAGACUAGGAUGUGUCAGAAUGGUAUCAGAGCCACUCUGCCAUUUGGUGCGAGUGUGUCGACGAGGACGUCGGGCCCCUAAAAGGGUGGAUUGUUAGAUUCCACAUUGUCUAGGGGAAUGGAUCAUCUAUGCCUUAUAUGUACAUGCCCACCUCUAUAUAGCACGAGGCCUUUGGGGAGCUCAUUGGCUUCAAAUUCUAUAGGAACUCCGAAGUUAAGUGAGAUCGCAACGAGAGCAUUCCUAGGAUGGGUGACCCAUUGGGAAGUUCUCGUGUGAGUUCCCAAAAACAAAACCGUGAAGGCGUUGCCUAAAGCGGACAAUAUCGUGUUACGGCGGAGUCGAGACUGAGAUGUGUCAAAAUGGUAUCAGAGCCACUUUACUGUUCGGUACGAAUGUGCCGACAAGGACAUUGGGCCCCUAAUGGGGUAGAUUGUAACAUCCCACAUCAACCAAUGAAAAUGGAGGGGGGUGAUGUGCCUUAUAUGUACAUGCCCACCUCCAUAUAGCACGAGGCCUUUUGGGAACUCAUUGGCUUCGGAUUUCAUCGGAACUCCGAAGUUAAGCGAGUUUGGGCAAACGCAAUCCUAGGAUGGGUGACCCACUGGGAAGUUGCUCGUGAGUUCCCAGAAACAAAAUCGUGAAAGCGUGGCCGGGGUCGAAAGCGGACAAUAUCGUGUUAUAGCGGAGUUGAGACUGAGGUGUGACAAAAUAGUAUCAGAGCCACUUUGCCGUGUGGUGCGAGUGUGCCGACGAGGACGUCGGGCCCCUAAGGGGGGUGGAUUGUUAGAUCCCACAUCACCUAGGGGACUGGAUCUUCUAUGCCUUAUAUGUACAUGCCUACCUCUAUAUAACAUGAGGCCUUUUAGGAGCUCACUGGCUUCGGAUUCCAUAGGAACUUCGAAGUUAAGCGAGAUUGCAACGAGAGCAUUUCUAGCAUGGGUGACCCACUGAGAAGUUUUCGUGUGAGUUCUCAAAAGCAAAACCGUGAAGGCGUGGCCCAAAGCGGACAAUAUCGUGUUACAACGGAGUCGAGACUGGUCCUAGGUGACCAACUGGGAAGUUCUCGUGUGAGUUCCCAUAAAUAAAACAGUGAGGGUGUAGCCUAAAGAAGACAAUAUCAUGUUACGACGAAGUCGAGACUAGGAUUUUCUCUCACCCAAACUCGCUUAACUUUGGAGUUCCGAUGGAAUCCGAAGCCAGUGAGUUCUCAAAAGGACUCAUGCUAUAUGGAGGUGGGCAUGUACAUAUAAGGCACAUCACCCCCUCUCUGUUAGUCGAUGUACAAUCCACCCCCUUAAAGGGACGUAGGGGGCCGACGUCCUCGUCGGCAUACUUGCACCGAACGGCAGAGUGGCUCUGAUACCAUUAUGACACAUCUCAGUCUCGACUCCACCGUAGCACGAUAUUGUCCACUUUGGUCCACACCUUCAUUGUUUUGUUUCUAGGAACUCACACAAGAACUUCCCAGUGGGUCACCCAUUUUAGGAAUGUUCUCGUUGUGAUCUCGCUUAACUUCGGAGUUUUUAUGGAAUCCGAAGCUAGUGAGCUCCCAAAAGGCCUCGUGCUAUAUGAAGGUGGGCAUGUACAUAUAAGGCAUAAAGGAUCCACUUUCUUGAACGAUGUGGGAUCUAACAAUCCACCCCCCUUAGGGGCCCGACGUCCUCAAUGUCAUACUCGCACCACACAGCAGAAUGGCUCUAAUACCAUUUUGUCAUGCCCCAAUCUCGACUCCGUCGUAGCAUGAUAUUGUCUGCUUUAGGCUCCGGCCACUCCUUCACAGUUUUGUUUCUAGGAACUCAUGAGCAACUUCCCAGUAGGUCACCCAUCCUGGGAUUACUCUUGCCCGUACUCGCUUAACUUCGGAGUUCCGAUGGAAUCCGAAGUUAAUGAGUUCCCAAAAGGCCUCGUGCUAUAUGGAGGUGGGCAUGUACAUAUAAGGCACAUCACCCUGCUCUCCGUUGGUCGAUGUCGGAUGUUACAUCUUUUUCCUGUCUCUGAUUAUCUCAAUCCUUAAAACAUAAUGAGCCUCCCCCAAGUCUUUCAUCUCGAAGUUAAAACUAAGCAUAGUUUUGGUUUCAUGCAGCAAUUGCAAAUUGGAACUAGCUAUCAAAAUGUCAUCCACAUAUAGUACCAAGAAAAUGAAUUUGGUACCUUUGAACUUAAAGUAUAUGAAGUCAUCGACCUUGUUCUCAGUAAACCCGGGUGUUGUUACAACUUUUUCAAAUUUAAGGUACCACUAUCUAGAAGCUUGUUUAAGUCUAUACAUUGACUUGUUGAGCUUGCAAACCAAACUAUCCUUCCGAUUGAGGAAAGUCAUUUAUACAUCCAUUUGAUGUAAUUCAAGAUCAAAAUAAGCUGUUAAUGCCAUGAUAAUCCUCAUAGAGUCAUUUGAAGAAACUGGGGAAAAAGUGUCACUAAAAUCAACCCCUUCUUUUUGUGUAAAAUCCUUCACUACCAGCCGAGCCUUGUACCUUUCAAUUUUACCUUGAGCAUCUCUCUUGGUUUUGUAAACCCACCUGCAACCUAUUGGUUUAGUUUUAGAAUUAGAUUUCACCAAGGUCCAGACAUUGUUCUUGGACAUGGAUCCCAAUUCUUUUUCCAUAGCUUUCUUCCAUAAGACUACUUGUGGACUUGUCAUUGCAUGAGAAUAGGUCAGUGGAUCCUUAAUAUCUCUUAGAUCAAAUUCAUUCUCCUGAAGAUAUACAUAGUCAUUUGAAAUAACUAGUUUUUUCACUCUCAUUGAAUGUCUCAUGAGUUACUGCACAAGUUGAUGUUGAGUUCUUGAAUUUCUUCAGCCACAUAUUCAAGAUGAUCAUCAGCUACAUGCUUGUUAGAAAUGUUCCCUAAAACCAAUCAUAUAAUGAUACUUUACGGACAUUUUACAAGUUAAACUAAUCUAGUUUAAUAUAAAGGGUAAAGAAUAUUGUUUAAAGCUGUCUCAUAUAAAUGUUAUAUACUUAAACGAUAAGUCCAAGGAAUAUGUAAUUCGGAGAAUGUGAUCUAAAGAAGUUAGAUUCAUGAGACCAUUCUCUUUCGUGUACAUAUCCUAAACGUUCCUGAUCAUAGGAUUGCCAAUUGGGCAUUGACAGUCUGUUAAGAUCAGUAUGUGUUAUGUUUUCUUUUAAAGAGAAUGACUGGUCUCCAGUCAUUGGUGUGACCGACACCAAGACAAGCAUGUAGGUGCUCAAUAGAAAAUGAGUCCACUAAACACGAUCAACGAGGAGUUCUCAUAUUCAUGUCACAUGAGAACUCAUGGUUGGGAUAAUGCAAAGUAGUACUUUGACCUGAGGCAUCAUAGUUGUCUUGUGGUUAGGUCCUUUAUCUUUGACUAUGUAAAGUUACUCCGUCAGAGGGUGUCCACGACAUAGUUGGGGUUAAGCCACUUAGUCACGGAGGCAAGUGAAUGCGUAACAAGGGAUCUCUAGACUUUAAACUGUUUGAGGGAGAAUACUUUAUGAUAUGAUUAAGAAUCUCUGGCUAGAGUAUGAAUGAGAUUUAGGAAGUCGUAUCAAAUCACAUUCAAGGUAAUCAUAUAAGUAAGAGAAUCACAUUGGAUAGUAGACAUGAAUAAACUAUCAAACCAAACAAUGUGAUCAAGAGUAUUGUAUUAGAGAAAGACCGUAUUUCAUUGUAAUCCUAAACUUAAUAGGUUCUCCACCUCUUCUUAUUAGCUUGGGUAGCCAUGAUAUAAUGCUAGAUGUCACUCAUGGUUUGUGGAAUCCCUAAAGGUGUAUAAUCACUAAGGGGAGAAUUGAAGGUAUGUUUCAAUUUACAAUCGAUUUGAAGAGUUCUAAUCGCCCACUGCCUCGCUAAAAUGAACCUAAUGGAUCGUACACCGUGUAAGGUAGAGAUUGAAGAAACAACAGAGAUGAGUAAGGAUAAUUAAAUGGUUUAAUUAUUUAUAGCUAGGAUUAAUUAAUAUGUUAAUUAAUCAAAUGAAUAAGUUUGUUAUAGACCUCGGGUUAGUUUUGAGCUACAAGGCCCAAUGGGAUUUGAAUGUCAAGUCCAAUAACUCAAGUUGUAUGCCAACUUGAAACACAAAGGGCCUCAAAGCCUAAAGAACCUAAUAUGGCCGGCCAUAAGAGUGAAGGGUAGUGAACUUGGCUUAAUUGUGUAUAAAGGAAACUUUAUAGCCAUUUCAUCCUUAAGGUUUUCUUUGACGAAAUUGGAGAUAACACAAGCUCUCAUUUGCUCUCUAAGAAGCCGAGCACCCUAGAGGAACAUAGCUAGCAAUCUUCCUUCAUCUAGGUCACUUAUCUCUUCAUCAAUGCUCUCCUUGGUGUGGAGACUUAGAGGUUCUCUAUUUUGGGAACUUGGAGAAUCCAUUCAUCCAUCCUCCUCCAAGAAAUCCAUGGAGCUAAGACGUAAGGAAAGAAGGCCCUAUCUCUUGGGUGAUUAGCCUUUGCUUAUGCCAAAAGGAAUCAACAAAAGUAUAAUAUUUCUUAACUCACUUUGUUUAUGAGUUGAGUCUUGGUUCACCAUAACUACUAGGCUUUGAAUUUCAUGCGUUAAGUUUUGUUUUUGAGUGCAUACAAGCAUGAUUCCGCCUUUUAAUUGUUAAUAACAUGCAUAGAUGUUGCUCAAAAGAAAUAGUUUUCACAAAUAUUUCCUUUAAGGUUGCAGUUCAUUUUCAGUCAUCUCAAUGUCUUCAUAUCUAAUUGUAGAUGGUGUGCUUGAGAAAAUUGGAAUCUGCACAUAGUCAUUUACUGCAACAUUAUCAUUUGUUUGACUAAUUUCUUCGAACACAAAAUCUUCAGCUACCAAAUUUGCAACAUCUUGAUCUUCAAUGAAUGUAACAUCCCACAUCGCCCAUGAGAGUGGAUCCUCUAAGACUUAUAUGUAUAUUUCCAUCUCUACUUAGCACGAGGUCUUUUGGGAGCUCAUUGGCUUCAGGUUCCGUAGGAACUUCGAAGUUAAUCGAGUUAGCGUGAGAGCAAUCCCAGGAUGGGUGACCCACUGGGAAGUUCUCGUGUGAGUUCCCAGAAACAAAACCAUGAGGGCAUGGUCUGGGCCCAAAGCGGACAAUAUCGUGCCACUGUGGAGUCGAGCCCGGGAUGUGGUGAGGGUCCGGGCCGGGAUGUGACAAUUUGGUAUCAGAGCCUAACCCUGGUCGUGGUGUGCCAACUAGGACGUCGGGCCCUUAAGGGGGGUGGAUUGUAACAUCCCACAUCGCCCAGGGGAGUGAUCCUUAAAUGUAUAUUCCCAUCCCUACCUAGCACGAGGCUUUUUGGGAGCUCACUGGCUUCGGGUUCCAUCGGAACUCCGAAGUUAAGCGAGUAACGUGAGAGAGCACUCCCGUGAUGGGUGACCCACUGGGAAGUUCUCGUGUGAGUUCCCAGAAACAACAUCGUGAGGGCGUGGUCGGGGCCCAAAGCGGAUAAUAUCGUGUUACGGUGGUGGAGCGAGCCCGGGACGUAGUGGACCCCGGGCCACAUCACCCAAGGGAGUGAUCCUUAAAUGUAUAUUCCCAUCCCUACCUACCAUGAGGCUUUUUGGGAACUCACUGGCUUCGGGUUAAACGAGUAGCGCGCGAGAGCACUCCCAUGAUAGGUGACCCACUAGGAAGUUCUCGUGUGAGUUCCUAGAAACAAAACCGUGAGGGCGUGGUCGGGGCCUAAAGUGGACAAUAUUGUGUUACGGUGGUGAAGCGAGCCCGGGAUGUGGUGGACUCCAGCCCGGGAUGUGACAAUGAACACAACAUUAUGAGUCUCUUGAAUCCGUGAAUCAGCUUGUGGAUAAUAGAAUUUAUAGCCCUUGGAUUCCUAAUAAUGUCCAAUGAAGUAACAAGUUGUGGUUCUGGCGUCCAACUUCCUUCCAUUUGGAUUAUAAAAUCACCCUCAAACUUGCAUCCCCAUACGUGGAAAUGCCCAAAACUAGGCCUUCUACCUGUCUAGACUUCAAAACGUGUUCCUUUCAUGGAUUUAGUAGGCACUCUGUUCAAAAUAUAGUUAGCAGUCUUAAAUGCUUCACCCCAGAGAAAACUAGGUAGUUUGGAUCUUGAAAUCAUACUUCAAACCAUCCCAAUUAAAGUUAUAUUUCUUCUUUCUGAUACACCAUUUUGUUGUGGUGUACCUGGUGUAGUAUACUGCACCAUUAUGCCUUGUUGCUGGAGAUAGAUUGCAAAAGGGCCCUUAUGUUGUCCAGCUUCUGUGUACCUGCCAAAAUACUCUCCCCCUCUAUCUAAUCUAACAAUUUUGAUUUUUCUAUUUAGCUGCAUCUUAACUUCAGUCUUAAAGAUUUGAAAACAGUCAAGUACUGCUAUUUUUUUCACUAAUGACAAAAGUAGAACCGUAUCUAGAGAAAUCAUCAAUGAAAUUCACAAAAUCACUAUUCCCACAUAUGGUUUUAACAGGAAAAGGACCACAAACAUCAGUAUGCACAAUCUCAAGAAGGUUUUGACUCAUCUUUGCUUCAAAAUUUCUGAUAUUUGUUAACUUUCCUUUCAUACAAUCAACACACUCUUUUGCAUUUUUGAAAUCAAGUGCAAGAAUCAAGUUUGCCUUAGCUAAUUGUAAAACUCUUUCUUUAGAAAUAUGUCCAGUCUUUUAUGCCAUAAACUAUAUGAUGACUCGGAUUCAUGCAUUCUUUUAGCAGUAGUACUCAAAAAAGUGAUGGUCUUUCUUCAAACAUAUAGUCUAUCUUCCACAAUUCAUCAUGCAAAAUAGCAAUCCAAAGUAAAGUAUUCAUUUUGUUUUUCUAGAAAAAUUUUAUGCAUGAAUCAUCACAAAGAAAACCGAAACCUUGUUUUACCAAUUUUGAUGCAGAAAUUAAACUUCUUCUCAUAUCUAGAACAUAAAGAGCAUCUUUCAAAUGAAGAACAAAACCUGAGUUCAUUUUAAGUUUCACAAUCCCAAUUGCUUCAACACCUACUUUUGUCCCAUUCCCCACAAAACAUUAUAAGGGUCUUUAUAAGUUUGUUUUUGUUUUACAAAUCCAUGCAAUGUGUUUGUAAUAUGAACUGAACAUCCUUUGUCAAACCACUAGGAAUUUCAAUCAAAUUUGAUUCUACAAAACAUAGACAUUAGGUCUACCUUUACUCCUCAGCCAAUCCUUGAAUGUUUCACAAUCCUUUCUAUAAUGCCCCAUAAAUUUACUGUGAUGACAUCUAAUCUUAGUCACAUCUUUCACAUUAAGAUUGUUAGAUUUAGAGGGUUUUGAGUAUUUUGUAGGUUUGGCAGACUUAUUGCCAUGAUUAGAGAAUUUAGAUACCUUACCAAAAGCAAUAGUGGUCUCUUUAUUUCCGGCAUGCACUAGGUUCACAACUUAUGUUUCUUUUCAUUUUUCUUGCCUUUGCCGAGUUUCCUCUUGCACACAUUGGGCAAUUAACUCAUCCACAGUCCAGGUCUUAUCUUGGGUGUUGUAUGACACUUUCAAUUCGUUGUACUUCGUUGCAAGAGCUUGCAGUAUCAUAAAAACCAGUUGUAUCUCACCAAUAUUAACCUCCAUGGAAUUGAGUUUCUCUACUGCAUCCAUCAUCUUCAUGAUGUGAUCUCUAAUGGAUGCAUUACCUUCAAUCUUGUAGGUUGUCAAGAUAGACAUAUAUUGACUAAUCUCAGUCUUAUCAGAUUCUUUAAACUUGUUCUCAAUGGCCUGGAGAUAAUCAACAGCAAGAUCAUGCUUCUUGAUUCCCCCUCUCACAAUAUCUGUCAUCCCAUUCUCAAGAAUGGACAAAGCAAUUUUGUUGGCUCUAGUCCACCUUUCAAACUCAGCCUUCUCUGACUUGGUACUUUUGUCUGUCAAUGGUGAUGGCCAAGGCGCAUCUAAUGCUAUAUCAAACUCAUUAAAAGUAAGCAAUAGACCAAUUUUAUGCCUCCAUCUCUUGUAGUUACCUCCCCCAAUAAGAAUGGGAACACUUGCAAGGUUGAGAGUUUUUAGAGGAACUGCAAACAUGUCAAAAUGAAAUCACAAGAGAGAACUAUAAGUUCCUGAUUCCAAUCUACAAUCACUAAGUACAUCACUGUAAUGAAACAAUUUAGUCAUAUAUACAGACUUUUCAAUGUAAUUGAAAAACAUAUAUAGAUCAAACAACCCUAUAGUGAUGAACACAUUGUAUUAUGCAGGUUCACAACUCAUGGUGUUUUCUAGUUCCAAUAGAUCAAAACAAUGAACAAAAUAAAACAGUUAAUCUCUUUCAGAAUAAUCAUGCAAGAAUUCAAAAUUUUCAAUAUGAAUUACUGAUGAAUAAAUCAGAGAACAUUAUUGUUGAUUGACAAGAAUUACCUCAAUUUCACAAUCUAUGAGAACACGCAGCGGAACUUAAAUGUUGAAACAUGAAUCCAAAAGAGUUUUGUUUCCUAGAUUGUUACUUGGACGAAAACCCGAUAAGUCGAAUGUGAACCGAACAUUGUGGGAAAAAUCCCCUUUCUUUUCAGAACAGCAACGGUCAAAAUUCGACACUUUUAAGAAAACCCUAGCUUAUCUUUUUAGUUACCAACGGUCGAUUAAUUUUUAAACUUAACUGAGUAGCUGCAAGUUAAAGGUGUUUUCCAAUUGAAUUUAACCACAAGAUUUAUUUAGGCUCUGAUACCACAUGUAAGAUGAACUCAGAGACAUCAAAAACAAGAUUAGUCUCUCCCAAUAAUAGGUUAUUGGUGCAAAACGAGAGCGUUAUUUGUGAGAGUAGUGGCUUAUGUAUUUAUACUAAGCACAUCGAUUGCCCUAUUACAAUCCUAGAAGGAAUACAAGACUACAUUCCUUAUACCAAUAUGAGCAUACACAAGAGUCCUCAACAAACCAUAAAUUGGAUUAACUCUUGUCAACAUGAAUUAGACUUUUUGUAAUAUCGAUUAUCCCAAAACUUGUAAGAAUCAUACUCAUACUCUUACAAUUUGUUCAUACUUGUUACUGAAUCCCAAAACUAAAGCAAACCCAUAAAUAUCGAACUGAACUGAACUCAUAAAUCUCAAGAACCACUUCUUUGGUUUUUAAAUUUUAGAGAUCAAAGUGAAGAGUUAUGACAAUAUUAUGGACAAUUUUAGCUAAUAAGCCCUUUAAAAAAUAUAUCUAGUAUUAAAGUGGAUCAUUCAACUGUUUUCCUGAUAAAUAUUUGUUUCAGGGCCUACGAUCAUCACCCCACCUUAUAUAUUGCUCCACAUCUUCUCUCUCCCCAAAACCCUAGCUCAAUUCUCUACCACAACAACAACCAAGCGUUAUCCUACUAAGUGAAAUCGAUUGUAUAAAUCCUACAAUGUCACUAUGCUCGGCUUUGCUCAAAGUCUUCCAUUAGUUCCAAAUACUCCAUUUAUUUUCUUAAAGUCUAUUUCCAAGUCUUCCUAACUCCAUUCUCUCUCAAAAAAUAAAAAAUCCCAAUCGUACAUUGUUACAUACAUUCCUGCUAAAACAUCUAUUCCCACACAUUAUGGACGUUGUAAACAUUUUCUUGUUAGACUACUUAUCAAAGACUCAAAGCCAAACUCAUGAAUCACACAACCACUAAUCAUCUAGAGAGCACAAAUUCGGAAAUUCAAAACCAAAACGUGGAAGCAAAAAUAUAAAAGCACAAUUACAACCAUACUUUUAUUUAUUUAUUUCGGAUCUGGUACCGCAUGUAGAGUGCAUUACACUUCACAACAAACCAAAUCAAAGAUAAGUGGCGAUUAUUAGAAAGUAAAACAUUUGUCAAGUAGUUGGGUCUGAAAGUUGUUCAUGCACGGGCCACCUUUGUAUACAACCCAUUGACACUGGCUACACCAAUAAUCAUCUCUGUAAUAAUUAUAAAUAUCGGCCCAGCGAAUUCCAUCUAGACCUGGCCGCCGAAAACUGCAGAAGAAUUCCGUAUUUCCCAAAAAGUCAGGUUUAAAAUGGAAUGUAAAGAGUGAGGGUCUCUCCUCCCUCCAAAGUGUUUGUGAUGUUAACACGUCUUGUCCUCACACCCUCACACGCCGUCACUGUAAACUAGAAAAGUAGCAUGACGAGCAGCAGUGUACUUCCAUUGAACCAAGCCAUGUGGUAUAGCAUUGUUAAUUUUGAAAAAAUCGAUUUUAGCUUGGUGGAAAAACUCUAGGAUGGAUCAUGUCUUUUUAUACCCUGGGAUGGAUCAUGCCUCUUUAUACUCUUGCUAUAUAUGCUAGCUACGUUGCAUGAGCACUUGCAACAGUGCAUGCUCUUUGGUACCGUUUGGUACGUGGGACGGGACGGAACGGAGUGGGACGAGACGUUUACACGUUUGGUGUGCCUAAAAUGGGUGGAACGCACUAUUGCAUGGGAUGAAUUUUUGGUGAAUUUUCGUUCCACCUCAUCCCCUAGAACGAUUUGUUCCACAUCCGUGGAACACAAAAUUAUAACCUCUCUGUCUCCUUCUUCUUCCUCCUUGUUUCCAUCCGAGGGCAUCUUUGCUCCCUCUCCGUUCCGUCCCGUCUUGUCCCGUCUCAUUCCGUUCCAUUCCAUCCCGUCUGCAUACCAAACGAUACCUUUGAGACAGAUACAUUAGCGAGCGAAUCAAGCGAAUGGGGCAAUGCGGUAGUGCUUCAUUUGGGAUGACUUAAAUAUUUUAUAUAUUAUAAUUAAUGAAUUAUUUUUAUUAAAACAUAAAAGGGCUGAUAGUUGUCAAUUUUUAUAUAACCCCAAGUAAGUAAAAAUAUGACAUCCUUUCAUUUUGCUAAAUUUCCUUAAAUUUUUACUAAACCUACAAUUCAAAAGCGAUUUUUUUUUUUAAAGAAAUAGUUAUUUUAGUACAUAUUAAUUUUAAAAAUUUUUGUAUAUGAUUUCUAUUUUCGAAAUUAUCAUUAACUAUUGUGAUAUUUGUUGUGUGACAUUUUAAACAAGUUAGGAAAUGACAUUAGGAGAGAAGCUAAUCCCUCUCAAUGAUAUCCCAUGAUCAAUAUCAUUAUUGUGAAAUCAUCUCAUAAAAAAAUGUUAGAGAGACUACAUUUUUGUACCAUGUUAGUUACCAUGAGGUAAAUGAUGUGUAUAUAUCAUGUCAAUAAAUAAAUCUAUUUUAUUGGAUGUAAGUUGUGUGUAUUACUUGCCAUAUGAAAUGAUUUACAAAUGUAGUUUAAAGAUGUGGUCUCCCUAACAUUAUUUUUUCAAUAAACUUCAUCGAUAUUUUUUUUGUAGAAUUAUGUCACUAAAUUUUAUUAGGGAAUUUUAACGAAAAGCACCCGGUACUGUUCAUUUUAACGAAAAACUACAUUUUUACACUAAAAAGUCAAUCCUGGUACUAUUCACUUUGCCCUUUAUUUUGUCCUUAUCAUUAAAACUCAAAGUUUUCAAGCCCUUUCCAUUAGUUUUCCUAUUUUAUUAAGAAGUAGAUGAAAAUAUGACAGAUAAGUUGGCAUCGGAGCACUCAACUAAUAAAAGAAGGAUAGUACUUGUAUCCCUGCAUGUGGGGAACGUACUACUUAUAUCUUAAAUAAAAAGGUUCAAUUUUUUAAUCAUCAUUUGAAGAUUAUUUACAAAAAAAUGAUUCGAAUUGAAGAUUGUUUAGUUACCCAAUUACAUUAAUAAAUUGACAAUUAAUAUAAAUUUGCUACUUGGUACUUACAUCAUCGAUUUGUUCUAUAUAUUCAAAUGACUAUUGAUUCAAAUAAUCAUUUGUAAGGAUGAUUUUCAAAUGAAGAUUAAAAAAUUAUCUGGUUUCAAUUAUAAUUUAUCCGGUAAAAACAACUUAUUAAUUUCUAAAUCGUGAAAUAGAGGGAUAUCGAUGCAAUAAUUAUUAUUCUUUUUUUUUUGGAAGCAUAAUUAUUAUCCUUUUGACAAUCAAAUGAAACACACAGUCAGUCUGACAUCCCAAAAAAAAAAAUCAAAACUGAUUUAUACCAAAAAACAAAUGAAAAUAUUUAUCACACUCUUGAUUUAUUACAUAGACAGCUAUUUUAUACCAUAUGAAAUCAUCUUUCCUUUCGCAUCAACAACCAAGUCAGAAGGCCUACUGCGAUGGUAGAGAAUUAGGGGUCUUUAGAUUUGCAAGGGUCUCUUUAUAAAAGAGAGACGGCGCCCUCUUGUCCAACGCAAUGAAACGAUAUGGCCCUCUAUUAUCUACUAUCUGGUAGACUAGAAAAAGGGGUCCCAACGUUUUUCCAGAUUAGAGUUUGACCACGGCGAGCUACUUCGUUCCUCUUGUUUUUAUUCUCCAAUUCCGAAUCCGCUAGUAGGGAGUAAAUGGUAUGAGCGAAAGUUCUCAUCCAAUUUUCUAUUUCAUCUCUCUAACACUAUAUUUCCUACUUAAAGUCUCUACUUGGUACCACCAAAGUCAAAUGUGGUUGCAUGCUUCUUUGUUUCUUCAUGCAUUUCUAUACGUGGCAUUCAAACAAAAUAGCACAAAAUUAUUGUUUUUUUAAUUUUGUCAAUUUUGGUUUUUAAAUGUUUGAUAGAAUUGAGUUUUAUAAUUAAACCAUGUGGCACUAUAUGAUUGGAAAUGUGGGUUACUGGUGUGCCCCAUCAAGACAAUAAGGGGAAAUUUGAGAGAAAAGUAACGGAAUGACCAAAUUAAUUUUCAUGACCUAUUUUUAGAAGUCAAAUUGAUUACUUUUCUAUUCUAGAGAUCAUUUUGAUUGGAAGAUUCAAUUUUCAAAGACCAACCGUGAUAAAAACCCAAUCAUCUAACCACUUCUUUCCCUCUAUAUUCCCUCACCAAAAUAUCGUUACCUGUUUGAAAUUUUUUUAAUUUUUUUUUUAACAAAUGAUAUUACCUACAAAGGGGGUGGGGGUGGUGUGGUGUGGUGUUUUUGGAGGGGGGGUGCUAAGCCUAACAUUGGGUUAGCCAUAAUAAUGUGGUUCAAGAAUCGAAUCUAAGACCUCUCACUUACAAAUGAAGAUGAAUACUACUUGAUCGUAGUAUUAAGUGGUUAUAGCAAUAUUUCUUAACAACGUUGUCGAUGCAAAUUUCCACUGUCUUCAGUCUUGAUGAAAAUGCACCUGCAAAACAAUUAACACAUUUGAUCAAGUGGGGGGGGGAGUGAGGGGGGUUAGGCCAAUGGAUCUCUGAUGCCUAAGUCAGUUUCUCUGAGAAAGUAAAGUGUUUAAGGCUUUUUUAGGGUCACAAAAGCUUCUGAAAUUUGGCAGAAUAUGGGGUAUUUAUAGGGAUAAGGUCGGCCAUAGUGUUAUGGUUUUACCCUACACGUGGCGGCAUCUUAUUGGCCAAGGUUUAUGGAGAAAUAUUCUCAAGAUAUUAAAUAGAAUCUUGAGAUAAUAGAGUAAUUAUCCCUAAUUGAUUUAAAUUGGGAUUACUUACUUGAUUGGAGUCAAUCUUCAAUUGGGAAUGUAUUAAAGAUAUGAUUUGGGUAAUUAAUCCUUAUCUUUAAUACUUUGAUUUUUCCUUGCCAAGGGCAGGUGAGCUAUGAGUAGUCAUAUUCAGCUGCUAAGACCUUCAUGGGUGUGAGUUGCGCAUGGGAGCCUCUGAGAAGCAAGCCCAUUUAUUGAGGGCAAUCUUAUCUUUCUUGAGCAAAAGUACACGUGUCACCUCUAGAAUUUUUGGGAUUAUUUUAAACUCCAUAAAUGCCCCUACACUUAUUGGGCUGCAUGCUAGAAAAGGGUGGUAGGUGUAGAAAUCCCAAGCUGCUUGGGUUUGUUAAGUUGUUUCCCAAUGUGAACUUGAUCUUCUUUCUUGAUUUGGAGAUAGACUUCUUCUAGGAAAAAGAAACCAAUUGUCCCCAAUACCUAUUUAAUUCUACUUUAAGCAGGGGAUUAAAUAAAUUUGGAGAACAAUCAUCAUUCCAACAAGGAAGAGAAGCCAGAGAAAAUUUUUCUUCCUUUUCCCCUAGCUUGCUUCUUCUCUUGCCCUUGCAAAGAGUCGUCUCUCGUUGUAGUUCUUCUUCUUCGUGCCGCACCAAAGUAAGAAAAAUUUGAAUUUUCUUUUUCUUGAAUUUUUAGAAGUCUUGGGACUUGAAAAAUUGGCUCGGCAGGGGCCAAUGAGGUGUGAAACAUGUGGUAAAGGUGCCACGAGGUUGGCUUGGCUUAGGUCAAGGUGCUAGCAGCACAAGCUAGGCUCAGCUCGUAGCUGGCGUGGGCCGAGGGCAUAGGGGCUCGGUGCUGGGCUCUAGCCCGCUGGAGCAUAGAAGAGAGGCGCAGGGAGCUCGCCCCCUUCACAGGUGAACUGGACAAUGGGCCAUUGGGCCAGCUUUAAGAGCUGCUAAGUAUGGCCCCAUGCAGGCGUGAGGUGAGAGGGUGGGAGAGACUGGCUCGGGCCAGCUUUCGGGUCUUGGUGGCUUGGGCCUUCUUGCUCGGGGUGCUUAGUGCUCAAAGAAGAAGGGGAGAGAAGGCGUGGGUCUUCCCUCGUAUUGGGCCGUACUACUACGAGUGAAAGGGUUGAGUCAUGGGGCAUGGCACUGGGCUCUUGGUCCUUUAAUUUAUUUAUUUUUUUGAGCUGCCUUCUAAAUAUUUUCCUUCAUACUUUUUGCAGAAAUUUUGAGAUGUUUACCUCCGAUUGCAAAAGUGACGAGUAUCAUUCACCUUUGUACCGUCAAGGUGGUUCUUCCGGCAAGAUGGGCUACUUCAAGGCUGCGUAUGUCAAGAUCAAUUCUAACGAGCUAUUUCGGGAUUUUCUUAAGGUGUACAAGCAUGCAAUUCUGUCAGGGGUUCACAUCAAGCGGGUGAAUGAUGAUAGCGGCCAUGAACCGUGUGGCGAGGGUGCCACUGCCAGAAAAAGGGCUAUCAAAUUCCAUCCGUAUUAUUUCGUGCUGGGAUUUACUUUUCCCAUGUUGCGUCUUUUUUAGGAAGUGGUAUGCUCCAUGAAAUGCGCACCUGCUCAGUGUUCCCUAAAUGCCAUUCGUAUGAUGGUUCUUCAACAUAAGCAGGUUCUUUGAUCUUGGCUUAACCAUAAAUGAGUUAUGGUGCUUUUUUGAAGUCGACCACAAAGAAGGCAUGGGGUAGCUGAGAUCUCGCCAUAGACUGCUCGAUGCUCUCUACUAAGGAGAUCAUGAGUGGGCGAGGGACACAUUGGAGGUAAGCGAAGAUUGGGAGUUUGACUCCUCUCAUGAGCUGCAUGUUCCUACUAACUUUAUUAGUGAUAAGUGAAUUGCUUCAUUCUUGGCUUGCUUGAAUUUUUUGUUGUGUUGCUCCAUGACUUCAGUUUACUGAUUGUCUUUCUUACUUUAUGUAGAAUCAAAGUUUGGCUCAACUCCAAAAUCGUCGACAGAUAUGAAGAAAGUGCACAUCGCCUUAGGCAUUCCUGCCGAAUACCAUGAAUGACGUUGGUUGCUCAGUCCUCUUCGUCGAGAGAAAGAUGGGCUGCCUCUAAAGAAAGAGAUAAAGCGGAUAAAGGAUAAGGCGUUUACUCAUUCGAUUGCUGUUGUAGAACCUACUACCAAUAAGGUUGGAAAGAAGAGAUCUUUUGAACUUUACUAGUCUUCGAGCCGGUUUAUCAAUUUGCUAGAAAUUUAAUAAACAACUUUUGUUGUUUUGCUUCAUCCUUCUAUUUUGUCAUGUCUUUUGUAAAAGGACAGGUGGCUGGGUGAACUGCUUCGAUGAAGUAGUCAAUCCUACAUCGUCACUUAGGCUUUAGUUUCGGUUUCAAGGCUUCGGGAGCCUUGCUUGCUUGAGGUGACUUGUAAAACUUUGACGUAGGACGAAUGGUUGUGUUGGCUACUUCGAUGGAGUAGUUGAUCCCAUGUUGUCACUUUAGGCUUUAGUCUUAGCUUUGAUGCUCAAUGAGCUUUACCUGCAAGAGGAAAAAAGUGCAAGACUUCUAAAUUAUAAAGUUAGCGGCAGAACUCGUUGCCUUCGUAAGAAGUAGGCGAGUUUGUGUAACUACUGUAGUUGUGAAUCUCGACUUUAGUGGCUUCACGAGUUCGGCCUUCCCGGGGCAUGUUGUGAAGUUUUUAACUUAUAGAGCCAGCAGCCGGACACUUGCUUCUCAUAGAAAAUAAAGGAAAUAUGUGUAGCUGCUAUAGUUGUACUUCGACUUUAAUGACUUCUCGAGCUUUGGCUCUUCCGGGGCAUGUUACGAAGUUUCUAACUUAUAGAGCUGGCGACUGAAGACUUGCUUCUCGUAGAAAGUAGAGGAAAUCCAUAUAGCUACUACAGUCGUACUUUGGCUUUAACGACUUCUCAAGCCUUGGCCCUCUUGGGGCUUGUUAUGAAGUUUUUAACUUAUAAAGCUGGUGGCCAGACACAUGCUUCUCAUAAAAAGCAGAGGAAAUCUGUGUAGCUGCUAUAGUCGUACUUUGGCUCUAUAAGCAGACGGGUCCGCGUAGUUAUACCAGUUGUAAGUCUCGGCUUAUAGAUUACCUUGGGCUGCCAGCAGUUGGGUCGUCGACCGAGCGUUUUAUUUACAAAAGCAAACGACCCGCGUGACCACUUCAGCCAUAUUCUUCCGAGUUGUAACUUGAUUCCGUAAGUCGUUUAACUAGUAUUGCAACACUUUAAAACCAAGCUAUGUUCAUGAAGACUUACACGUCGAGGACAUACCAUCUAGACACCCAAACUCUUUCAUGGGCAGGAAUCCUGCACUUAACGUCUCUUUCAUUUAGAGACUCGAGAUCCCACAAAAUUGAAUCCUUUAGUCAACUAAGUCUAUUCUAGGAAAAGGACUAUCUUGGCCAAUUCAAGGGAAACUAAGCAGUCGUACCACCCAUCCAUGCCUGGAUAUUCCGGAUUAGUUUACCCUUUCAUAAUUAGAGAGGACACGCCAUGUCUGCAAAGGCAGGGGCGUCUUCUGCUUGUCACAGGGGUGGAUAGUUUGUUUAUACAUUCAGCCCAGGCUUGUGAACAAUUCCUUCAAUCUUCAUUGAAAAUAGAGAAAUUUAUUAACUUUGCUAGUAGGCAGUAAUGGCAUAACAACUGAUAAUCUGUGGCAUGCGAGGUCUUAUUCGUCGAGCUACUUAAGUCUUUGAACUUUAUUUGUCUUGAACGGGGUCCAAGGAAUGGUGGGAGGUCACACAUAGUACUUUCUUAGGUUGUAGGCAUUCCACUGCUUGUCAAUGUUUUUGUCACUCAUAGUGGUGAGGUUGUGGUUGCCCUUUUUGCCUACUCAGAUGAUUUUGUACAGACCCUUCCAGAUAGGAGCCAUCUUUUUGGAGCCUUCUCGGCGGGCGCUGAUGAAGGUUUUUUUUAGCACUAAAUCUCUUGUCUGGAAUUGCUGGAUCUUCACUCUCUUAUUGUAGCUGCAAAGGAGCUGCUGCUGAUAGGCUACAAUGCUGGUGAUAACCUUUUCAUGCUCUUCCUCUGCCAAGUCUAAGUUUGUGGCCAUCUCCUUCUCGUUUUACUACAAAUUUGGAAAUAUAAUGUUGAUGCUUAGCACCAUGAUGUUGGCAAGAAUGAUCACCUCAAAGCCAUAUGCCAGGGAGAAUGGAGUUUCACCAGUUACUCUUUUCUUGGAGGUGUGAUAUACCCAUAGAACACCGAGCUCGUCUGGCCAUUUGCCCUUCUUCUCUGAAAUAGACUUCUUGAUGCAAUCGAUGAUAGUCUUGUUGGACACCUCAGUCUGCCCGUUACCCCACGGAUACUGGGGCGUCGACAUGUGUUGCUUAAUGCCAUAUUUUUUUAAGAACUUCGCCAAAUCCUUACCCAUGAACUGCAGACAUUGUUGGUGACGAUGGAGUGCGGGAUGCGAAACAGCAGAUGAUGUUCUUCCAUAUGAAGCACUUUAUGUUCUUCUGGGUAGUUGUAGUCAUGGGUUCAGUUUCGACCCAAAAGUAGUCAGUUGCUAUGAACGAUCAUCAUGCCUUUGCCCCCAAUGGCAAGCGACAUUGGUCCUAUAAGUUAAUCGCAUAAUGCAUGAAUGGCCAAGGGCUCAUUUACAGGUGGAGUUCGUUGGCAGGUAGUGUCGGCACAGGCUUGAAGCAUUGGCAACUGUCUCAUUUUUGUACAUACUCAUUGGCGUCUUAAUGCAUGGUUGGCCAGUAGUAGCCAGCGUUAAGAGCUUUUUGCACCAGGAAGGGCCUCCAGAGUAGUUUCAACAUACGUAUUUUUGGAUUGAGCUAUGAAUCUUCAGGUCAUCGAGAGGUGAUAGGCAGUGGAGAUGUGGUCAUGAGAAGGAUUCGCAAACGAGCAUGUCAUUCCAUAUGUAGUAGCGUGUUGCCUUCAUCUGGAGCUUUUUGGAAUCCAAUCUAUCUGCGAUGAGCGUUCCGUUGACUAAGUAGUUAAUGAUGGGAUCUUACCAACUUGAAGUUAUGUUGAUCCACGCCACCUCAACUACUGGUUCUUCAUAUAUGCUCGGCUUUAUCAAGUACUCGACUGGGAUAGAGUGCUUGAGCUGAUGGUCUAAGGCAGAGCCUAGGCCUGCUAGUACAUCUGCGUGGGCAUUUUCUGCUCGUGGAACUUAAGUGAGUGUGGACGCCUGGAAAGUCACCAGCUGCUUUCGUACUUUCUCAAGGUAUCGGGCCAUCCUUAUAUGCUUUGCUAUGUACUCCCCUGAGGUUUGGUUGGUGAUCAGUUGGGAAUCAUAAUAGAUUGCGAGCUUCUUCAUUGCUAGGUUUUUUGCCAAUCGGAGACCUGCUAGUAGGGCUUCAUACUUUGCUUCGUUAUUUAACACCUUAAAGCUUAAAAUUAUGGCUUGUUCGAGCAUCGAGCCGUCCAAGGUAGUAAGAACUAGGCCUAUUCCAGAUCCCUAGUAGUUGGAUGAUCCAUUGACGUAUAAACGCCAAAAAUCUUCUGCAGGUGGGGCUAGUGCGGCUACAACGUGCUCGAUUGCCUUCAGGGCACUUUCGGGCUGAGUUGAUGCAUCAUUCAGGCUUGGGAUGAAUUAUGCUACGAAGUCCGCCAAUGCUUGGGCUUUUAUCGUUGUGCAGGGCUGAUAUACUAAGCCGUAUUGGCCAAGUUCCAAUGCCCACUUCAUCACUUGUUGAGAAGCAUCUGGACUAUACAAAAUUAAUCGCAGUGGGUAAUGGGUUGGGCGAUGAUCAAAUGCCCUUGAAAGUAGGGUCUAAGCUUCCAAGCUGCAACAAAUAGCGCCAAAACUAGUUUUUCAAUCAUCAGGUAUCUAGUUUCCACAUCAAGGUGAGCUUUAGAUAUAUAUAAUAUGGGCAAUUUGGCCCCUAUCUCUUCUCAUAUGAGGGCAGAGCUCGCUACUACUUCUGAUACCACCAGAUAGAUGCAUAGGUUCUCCGCUGCUUCCAACUUGGAUAGUAGUGGAGGUGAUGUCAGGUACUACUACAGGUCCUGAAAUGUUUCCUUGUAUUCAUUGUCCUAUUUGUCCUUCUACACUCUCUUGAUUGCCUUGAAGAAAGGCUUGCAUUGGUCAAUGGAUUACGAGAGGAAAUGAUUUAGUGUGGGUGUUCAUCCGGUCAGACUUUGGAUCUCCUUCAGUGUUGUGGGAGACUUCAUGUCCAGGAUUGUUUUUAUCUGCCUUGGAUGAGCCUCGAUUCCUCGUUGGUUACAAGGUACCCUAAGAAUCGGCCUGAGGAGAUGCCAAAAGUGCACUUGGAUAAGUUAAGCUUCAUUUUGUACUCUUGGAGGAUGUUAAAAGUCUCUACCAAGUUGUCGAUAUGGUCAGAUCGCUACUUUCCUUUCACCAUGAUGUCGUCGACGUAGACUUCCAUGGUUACUCUGAUUUGCUUCUUAAUCAUCGUGUUUACGAGCCGUUGAUAGAUUGCUUCUGUGUUGUUGAAACCAAAGGGCAUAACCUUGUAGCAGUAUAUGCCUCGCUUGAUUAAGAAUGAAAUUUUCUCCUUGUCAACCUAUUGUAUGGCAAUCUGAUUGUAGCAUGAGUAUGCGUCUAAGAAGCUGAGCAACUAGUUCCCGGAUGUUGAGUCAAUAAGCAAGUAAAUUUGGGGAACCGGGUAGUUGUCCUUAGGGCACGCCUUGUUGAGGUUGGUGUAAUCCAUGCAUACUUUUUAUUUGACCUUAUUUUUUUUCUUCAUCAACACGACGUUGGCUAGCCAUGUUAAGUGCACCACUUUCUUAAAGAAUUUGGCCUCUAGUAACUUAUCGAUCUCCGCCUCAAUAAUCGUUACUCGCUCAGGUGCAAAGUGCUGCCUUUUCUGGAUCACAGGUUUGGAAGUAGGAUCAAUGUGCAGCUUAUGAAAGGUUAUUGCUGGAUCAAUACCGGGCAUGUCAAAUGGUGACCAUGCGAAAACCUCACAAUUUUCCCUAAGGAAAAUCGUGAGUUCUUCCUUCUACGUAGGGCUCAGACAUGAGCCAAUCCUAGUUGUCUUAUCUAGCUAGUAGGGGUCAAGAAUGAUGUCUUCAGCAUCCACUUAGGGUUUCCAUCCUGAUUCAUUUUUCAGGGCAUUGUCGACCUUAACGCCAUCUUCUUGACCUGCCUUCUGUAAUUGCUAUUUGGCGGAGGUAGAAUCGUUUUUCUACACUUCAGUUGCUACUACUGGGGCGAAAGACUUAUUCUUCGAGUCCUUAAGAACUUGUACAGUGCAUCUCCGAGACAUGGCCUAAUCACCUUUUAUCUAUCCGACUGCUUCUCCUAGGAUGCAAAAUUGGAUCUUUUGAUACUCGAUCGAGGUCAUAACUCCAAUCUUCACUAGCCAGGGUCAGCCCAAUAUCCCAUUAUGGGGAGAUUGGUCACUGAUGAUCAUGAAGCUGUGCGAUGAGACAAUCAAUAGGCUAGUUACGUCGAGCAUGAUGGUGCGAAUGGCAGUUGAGGUAAGUUCGUUGAAUCCGCUCAAGACCUUUGCUUUGCAUUUGAUCAUGCUUCAUAGGCCCAUCUUCUAGAUGGCUAACAAUUACAGGAUAUUGACUGAGCUGCCGUUGUCCACCAUAAUUCUGUCAACGAUGGCGUAGGCCAGUUAAACAAAAAUCACCAAGGUGUCAUCGUGGGGAUGGUCUACUCCCUCUAUGUCCUGUUCGGUGAAGCCUAUAAUCGGUCCACAUAUAACAUAUACGGCUUGAACUUGAAAUACCGAUCUCACCUGCUGGAUUUUCCUCUUCUUGAAAUUGUUAGUGGCCCCCAGAUGCUUUGACUUGGCAAAGAUACCGUUAAUUUGAAUUGUCUUGGCUGGGGGUUCAACAUCGGUAUCUACUUCUCGCCUUGGCCGGGUAGCUAGUAUGUCGACAUACUGGUCACACUUAUCUUCUUCACGAGCUACUCAAGGUACUUCCUCCAUAUGGUGCAGUCGUUGGUUGUGUGCAUGGGACGACCUCUAUAGAAUGCUCAUUACUUUGUCUGGUCUAUCUUGGAGGAGCCCCCUCUCAUGGGCAGCGGCUUCUUGAACCAUAGCUUGUCCUUAAGGUGGUGAAAGAUUUAGUUGAUCGGGGAUUGAGAACUUGGUGUACGUCUUGGGUACCGUGUCUUUCUUCGUCAGGGAUUGGUCCUUGCGUCUGAUUUCUGGCUUGUUUUUAUCAUUGAGCGGUUUAUCGCUUGCCUCCUUUUGAGUCGGCUCUGAGUCUUUACGCGGCUGUUUAGGCCACUUUUGGGAGCAUUUGGCCUCAUCCUAGAAAAGUGCUUUUCUACCAAAGCAUAAGAGUCUGCCAGGGUUAAGUUCUCCCCCAUAAUCAAUUCUCUGAAAAGUGGGUAAUCUGCUGGGAGCCCUUUUCGAAAGGUUGAGUAUGCAAUGUUGUCAUCGUAUUCGACGAUCUUCACCUUUUCCACGUUAAACCUCUUGAUGUAAGUGCGGAGUGACUUCUUUAGGUCCUUCUUCAUGUUAAAAAGAUGGUCAAACUUCUUUUUGAUCAAGUAGUAAGACGAAAAGUGAAAACCAAGGAAAGUUCACUGAAGUUCCGGAUUGAUUGUGGUGGCAGGGUGUGGAACCAGUCUUGCGCUUCAUCUUGUAAUGUAGUGGUAAAGUUCUUGCACAUGAGAACGUCAUCGUUGACGUAGAGGGUCAUGGCGCUUCGGUAGUGCAUCAGGUGCUUGUCCGGAUCUUUAUCUUUUUUGAAAAAAGUGAAAUGUGACGGGCUGAACUUCUGCAGUGGCUCUGUCUGCUCGAUCUCGUUUGUAAAUGGUGAUCUGUUCAUGUUGGCCACAUCUCUACGGAGGGCAUUGUCGAUGGUAUCAAUGCACUGGAAUCCGCGCAGCUACUCUGCUAUAAGUCUUUGUACUUCCUCCUGGAUUUGCGCCUCGUGGGGCAGUAGAGCCUCCAACUGCCCUCGGUGCUGACGUACAGGUAUAUGUUGCUCUUCGGCAUGUCCUACUCGUCUAUGUCGCAGUCGCGGUGCACAUGGUUCGCUCUGUGCUGCUUGCUGUAAUGCUUCAUGGGGGCUGCCAGUGGAACUUUAGCUGGACUGCUCUCAUGCUCUCUUCUGUGCGUCAUGUGGCUGCUUACUUUGGUGCCUCACAGGAGGAUCUCUUUGUGGGCCUAGCCUCGUGUGGAUGUUUUGCUUGGAAUAUCCUGAGUGCUCAUCGGAGUGUGGACCCAACCUUGAAUGCACAUUGACUCGUGAGCCAAGUUAGUAAUGAACGCUUCUCUGCACAUCUAGGUGGGAGAAGAUCUUCCCCCGAGGGCCCAAAGGAAAGUGCACACUACCCAAACGCAUGGUUCGUGACGGGCUUAGGGCACUUUACCGGGACGUCACAGGAAUGAGUCAUGUUCCUCCGCCCUUGUCCUGCUUCAGGACACCUCGUAUGGGAUGCACUGAAUCUCGAUGUGCUCAAGGAGUUGGAUUACCAAGGUGGUCUGCUGCACGAGGGUACUCGUCAAAUUAAAGACCUGUAGGGGCAGGUGGUGCUUGUUAUUUGGAUUGAAAGAGUUUGGAUAAUGAAUAUCUCCAUGUGUGGUGGAAGUGUAGUGGACUACAUGUACAAUACUUAAGCCCAUAGCGGGUAUUUCUGUAGAAAUUAAGGUGAAAAUAGCCUUGUAUCGACGUGGGACCUGUGGUCAGAAUAUGGAUCUCCGAAGAUGGCCUUGGAUUAGAUUGGGUUGCAGGCUAGGUCGUCGAAGCAGGUCGCGCGGGGGGGGGGCAACCUAGUGGGUGGCUGGCUGGGCAGCUUAAGCUUAAGCCUAUUGGGAUGCCUGCCUAGCAACAGUUGCCAUGGUCUAGGCUCGGGCCUGGGCUUGCUGUGCAGUAGGGCCUACUACUACGGUGGGCUGGGCCUCCUGCCCUGGGCUUGCCGUGGUAGCUGGUGUAGGCUGGGCCUCCUGCCCGUAACCUGUUGGUGCCAUAGCAGCACGAAGGGCCGUUGUAGCACGCGUAUGGGCCUCGGCUUGGGCUGCUGAUACUGCGGUGGUCUUUGCUGUAGGCUGCAAGGUGGUGGCCGCGGUGGUGGCGUGGCUCCACAGUAGUAGGGCUUCUCCUACCAUCAUGUUGAGCCUCGAAGAUCUCCGUUGUAGGGCUAUGUCCUCGUCUUCACUCUCCGGUCCAAAUCCUUGUACGUAUAGGGUUUCGUUCAUCAUGGUUUCUGAAUUUCUUACCAUUGUAUCCUUGGAAUUAGUUUACUGAUUGUAAGCAUUACUUCUGUUAUGCAUUGAGGAUUAGCUACCAUUGGAUUGACAAAUUUUUUUAUUUUUUUAUAUAUGAAACUAAAUUGAGCUUGGAUUUAUUCCAACCUUUUAAGUAGUUAGUUGAACAUUGAAGUGCUUAAUUUGCUCAAAACCAAUUGGGUAUUCGUCUGUUUAGCAAUUAUAAUCUUUGGAAAGUCUAAAAAGAUUGAAUUUUAAGCCACCUUUGAAUUUUUAAUCCACCCAUUUCCUGUUAUUAAGCACGACUGUAUUGAUCCCAUUUUAAUUUUCCCAGCUUAAAGUUGCAUUCUUGGAACCUGAUAUGUCAAUUUUUGAGCUAAACUUCAGCAGUAGGGUGCUUUUUAGGCUGCAAUAUAUAUGUUCCAGGAAGUAGAAGGUCAAAACUAUGGUAGAUGAGAGAGGCCAUUUGGUGCACACCCUUUGCACUUAAAUUAGAAUUCUUUGUUCUUUUAAAGAUAUUUUCUGUGAUGUUUAAUAAUUAGGAUGGAUUGUCCAACAUUAAUGCUUACUUUUAUUGUUCAUUUGGUAACAAAACUAAUGGGGCAAAUGAAUAGAAACAAUUAACACUACAUGCAUCCUUUGUGUUUUGUGAUAUAAUUGUGUUUGCACCUUGUUAUGUACCACCUUGGCCUUGACUUGUCAUGGAAAAUAGUUCCAAUUUAGUCCAGGAAGCCAACUUUUAUCAGGCUUGGCCUUAAAAGUAUUGGGACAUUGGGUGGCACUAAUACAGAAUGAUAUAAUUGUGUUUUGUGUUUCUAAUUUAGUCCAGUAAGCCAAAUUUUGUUAUGUGAUUCUAAAAUAAUUGUGUUUUGUGGGUGUGUUGCAGAUUUUUGGGUGUUCAAUAUGCAAAUUCUUCCUUGAAUUAGUGAUGUAAUUGGGCGGUACAUCGUGAUGAUGUUGAAUACGGCAUUGCCCCAUGACGUAUAGCUAUGCUUCACAUUUUGGAAAACCCUUAUGGAGUUUUAUUAAUGAGUGCAUUUUUGCUCACCACCAUUUAGUGUGGUGUAUGCUUACCACCCUAUUUAUCACCGUUAAAUAAGUUUGAAUUUUGAGAUUUGUGUCUAUCCACUACACGAAUCUCGAAAUUUAAACUCAUCUAACUGUGAUAAAUAGGAUGGUGAGCAUACACCACACUAAAUGGUGGUGAGCAAAAAUGCUCCCUUUAUUAAUUAGUUGAUUUGGAAGAUCGUAGUUUGAUAUAUAUAUAUAUAUAUAUAUAUGAUGUUAGAUUGUUAGUUAAUGUUUGUAAUUUUGGUUAAAAGAUGUGUAAUAUGUAUUGGAAUUCAAAAUGUAUAAAAAAUAAUAAAAUAUUUUUAACGGGUGUUAAUGGGUGAAAUGUGUGACUUAUUAGAUUAAAGAGUUGGGUUUGGGUAAGCCGUUAGUUUAACGAGUUGGGUUCGGAUAACCCGUUAAAUUAACUGGUCAGGUUGAACCCGACUCAAACCUAGUAAACUCGACCAGUUUAUAGGUCGAGCCCAGUGUGAAACUUAACCCAUUCUCAAUCCCCUUAGUAUAGAUAAUAUCGCUUGUUCAAAACAAAAACAAAAAAAAACCUGGCCAACUUUUUUUAAGAAAAAUGCUUGGAGAUGCUCUUAAGGACACAAACACAAGUACUGAAAGCCACAAGAAAAGUGACUAUUUGUUUCUUUUUCCUAAUAAUCAAUAAAGCUUUCUAGUAUAUUUUAUGGAAAAUACUAGGAGACAACCUUUUCGUACAACAUUUAUAUACAGUUGCAAUUGAUGUGUAAAUGUCCAGUCAAUUAAUAAAGCAUCCCAUUGAAUAUUUAUCAUAUGCAUCAUUUAUCACAUAAAAUAGUAUAUUAAUAUGGUAUGCAUAUGCAUAUGGUUUCCCUAUCAUUUACUCAUAUUUUAUUUUUUGUAUUAUCAAACCCUAGAACUAGAAGGAACCCCCACGCAUGCUGAGUCAUUCUCCCAUCUGCAUUCCAAAGCUCUCUUUACUGUGUGCAUCAAACUCCUACGAUUCUGGAAGCAAUCGUACAAUAACAAGAAUCUGGGAGAGUACUGAAUACUAAUGGAUGUAAAUAGAAGGACCCAAAAUUCAAGUACUCACAUACAAAAUGUGAAAAUCAAGCAAUCAUGCUAGUUCUAAACGAUUCAAACAGAAAAGUUCCAUCAAGCUUUUAAUUAAUAUUUAUUCGAGAUACAAUUUUAUUACAUAAUAAUAUGAUUUCAUCUUUCAAGCUGCAGAACAACCAAAUGAGAGAUAAUUGAUUCCAAACGAUGUAGUUAUUAACAUCGCAUAUUCCAUCCAGAGCAUUCGCCAUGAAUGCACGGUCCAUCUGGAUGUACAUCCCAGAAACAGUUUCUACACUUCUUCCGGUCUCUCGUGUCGACAUAGAUAUCAAAAUAAUGCAAUUGACCUGGCCAUUCAAAACUGCAAUAGAAUUGUGUUUUGAAAAUGUAAAGUGGUCGAAAACUAAAUUCAAAGGAGGCAUGAGGGGGAAGCACUUUAACACCAAUAUCAUCGUCUUUGGAUUUGCAGUGAACGGUAAGAAUUAAAUCACCACCUAACUCGUUUGAGAUUCUCACAUGUUUCUUAGAAAUACCACAUUGUUGAUGCACAAAAUUAGCGAGAACAAGUACAACAGAAAGUGUUAAGUUUGUGACCUUCGCUAGAUUGCUCCGGUGACUAGUGUGGAUAAGUAUGUAAAUGGAUAGAGACAGGGAAGCAAACACAAGAUUUACGUGGUUCACCCAGAUUGGCUACGUCCACGGAGUAGAGGAGUUCUCAUUAAUUGUGAAAGGUUUACACAAGUACAUAGGUUCAAGCUCUCCUUUUGUGAGUACUAGUGAAUGAUUUAGUACAAAUGACAUUAGGAAAUAUUGUGAGAGAAUGAUCUCUAUUUAUAGAAGAGAGUUUCUAGUUUCAUUCUGACAUUAACACGUGUCGUGUUAAGAUUGGCUUUUGAUAUUGACACGUGUCGCGCUAUGAUUGGCUUCUAAUGUUGACACGUGUCGCACUGUGAUUGGCCUCCUGGUUAGAGGGAAACUCUUCUGGGUCCUUGACGGUAUAACGUUGACCGGUGCUCAGUAGUUUCGGGAUUGGUCAAGUAUGGUACAAAUAGUGCUCCCCUAAGUUCCCGAGUGAGGGAAGCUCCACAGUUAGGGACUUGCAAGAUCCAAGUCAUUGAGUAAUCACGAAACUUCUAAGUACCAAAGUGUGGUAUCAUUUUCACUUGCCUUAUCUGUCUCAUAUGUAGAUGUGGCAUAUUCUCUGGAAGUACUUUUCCUCCAUCCAGGGGUGGUGGUAUCUUUAACUGAUGAAGAUGCACAAGGUAAUGUAUCAAUUUCACUUGAAGCUUACUUGUAGUUUCGGGCUUGGUCAAGUGCAAUACAAACCCUAUAGUAGAAGCCCCCCAAGUUGUCGAGCUAGGAGAUUUGCCUAAGGAGGUGAUAGACAAGGAAAGCAAUCAGACUUCCAAGCAAGCAACCUGGAUCAGAGGUUUGACUUCGGCUUUCGGUUGAUUGUUCUCCUUCUCCUUGUGUCGUAAACAACAACAAAGAUAAGGAGAAGCAAAUGGAGAAGAGAUGAUAUGAGAUACUUUUGCUUUUGAAAAAGCAACUUUCCACAUGCUUAUUCUUGAACUGGGCUGGAGGGUUUUCUGGUUUCCUCCAGAGUAUAAGGCUGACUCAAGAAUUUGAAGGUCAAAACAAGUCUAUCAAAUCUAAAGUACGUUCGACCCUGAUGAUAUGGGAUACUUUUGUUGUUGACAAAGUAGUGGAUGUAUCGACACGUGUUCUGUUAUGCUUGUCUCCACAUGCUUCCUUGUAUCCUUCUCACUUGCCCUAUCUAUUCCUCAGACAGAUGUGGUAUCUUCUCUGGAAGCAUAAGAUGUUGAAGAUGAGUACUCGAGAGCAAUGCCAGGUACUUAAUCAGGCAAGGGGUUCCAGGCAGUCAGUUCCUGACUGGAAGCUUAAUUCCAAGUGCUGACUGAUUGCUCUCUUUCUCCUUGUCUUGCAGGUAAGAACAAGGCCAAAGGAAAAGACAAGGAAAAAGCAUGAUAUGGGAUACUCUUGCUUUUAACCUUGAUGAUAUGGGAUACUUUUGCUCUGGUGUGGCUUGUUUGCAGAGGUAUUAUCGGAAGGAAAAAAGCUGAGUAUUUCGAGAGACUUUGCUGAGACUGCCCUCUCAGAUGUGAAGCAAAGUUGAGCAUUUUUUUUUUAUUUGCAAGUAUGCCUGGCUAUGGAGGAUGGAGGUUGACAUAUCUAGGAGUCUCCCUAACAACAAAUAGUUGUGCUAUUCCUUUACCCUUCUUGGUCAUAGCAAUGUAGUGGGAGCUGCAAGCUUCACGAGUUUUAACUUUAUCAGAGCACUUUGAAAAAGUGGUCUGUGGUAUCUGGAAAUCUGAUGUUGCGUGUGAAGAUUGCAGACAGGCUUUAUCCAAGGAAUUUGGCUCUCGAAGUUCGGAGAGCGGUGCCUUUUCGGUUUUCAAAUAAGCAAUCUUGUCGGGGAUCUGGCUCUCGAGAUUCAGAGAACGGUGCCUUUUUUAUUUUUGAGAAAGCAAUCCUGUUGGGAGUUUGAUUCUUGAGAUUCGGAGAGCAAUGUCUCUUCGAUUUUUUAGAAAGUAAUCCUGUUGGGAGUCUGGCUCUCGAGAUUCGGAGGGCGAUGCCUCUUCAAUUUUUUGGCAUGUAAUCCUGUUGGGAGUCUGGCUCUCGAGAUUCGGAGAGCGGUGCCUCUUCGAUUUUUGAGAAAGCAAUCAUGUUGGGAGUCUGACUCUUGAGAUUCGGAAAGUAGUGUCUCUUCGAUUUUUUAGAAAGUAAUCUUGUUGGGAGUCUGGCUCUCGAGAUUUGGAAGGCGGUGCCUCUUCGAUUUUUAAGCACGUAAUCUUGUUGGGAGUCUGGCCCUCAAGAUUCGGAUAGUGGUGCCUCUUCGAUUUUUUAGCAAGCAAUCUUGUUGGGAGUGUUUUCUGGAAUGUGAGUAAAGGUUGGGCAUUUUUGCUAGUCUGCAUUGCCAUGGAGCACGGAGGUUGACACACAUUGGGACUUUCUAGUUAUCAAGCAGUGGUGUUGUUCCUUUACCCUUGUGGGUAAUAGUAGAGUUGCUGGACCUUCAAAAUUUAUGUGUCUAACCUUUGUCAGAGAUCUUUAGCAAAGUUAUCUGUGGUACUCGAGAAGCUGAUGUUGCGUGUGGAAAAUGGUGCCUUUUCAGAAUCCGGAUAGUGGUGCCUCUUCGAUUUUUGAACGAACGGCCUUGUUGCCCUUUCUUUUAUAAGGGCACCAAUUAUGUGCAAGAAGUACAUUCAAAGAGUUAUUACUUGUAGGAAUUUCCCCCUUACUUCAGAGAUUUAUUGCACCUCAUUUCUCUUUCAUCAUUUCUGAGAAUGUCUGGCCCAUCCAACCGUCGUUUUGACUUGAACUUUAGUGAUGAGGCAGCCAUGCCUUCUCAAGACAACAUAAGGCGCUCAUCCUUCUUAUCCCCUACUGGUCCUCUUACCGUUGAGGACUCUGUGAUGAAGAAUGAUAUGAUCGUUGCGAUGGUGGCCAGGAACAUUCUCACUCCCAAAGAUAACAGACUACUUUCCAAAUGGUCUGAUGAGUUGGCUGUUAAGGAUUAUCUGGCUCUCAAUGUUCAGUGUGCAAGUUCUGUGUCUAAUAUGGCCCAACGCCUAUUUGCUCGAACCCACCAGGUUGAAUCAUUGGCGGCUGAAGUGAUAAGUCUCAAACAGGAGAUUAGAAGGCUCAAGCAUGAGAAUAAACAGUUGCACAGGCUCGCACAUGACUAUGCUACAAACAUGAGGAGGAAGCUCGACCAGCUGCAGGAAACUGAUAGUCAGAUUUUACUUGAUCAUCAGUGGUUUGUGGGUUUGUUCCAAAGGCAUUUAUUGCCUUCGUCUUCUUGGGGUUGUACCGCGUAAUGAAGCUCCAAAUGAUCAACCUUCGGUGCCUCCUUCUUCUGGGGUUCUGCCUAGUACUGACGCUCUGAAUAAUCACCCUCUGGUGCCUCCUCUUUCUAGGGCUCUGCCGACUGCUGAGACUUCUCCUAAGCAACAUUUGUGAAGGCUUUCUCUUGUUUGUUUAUUUUGAUUCAUGUAUAUGUACAUAUUUGUAACUUAUCGGAGAUAUCAAUAAACAAGUUUUGCUUCAUUUCAACGUAUUGUGUUAAAUACACCAAGGCCUUCUUCACUAAGUUCUUUGAAUUUUUCCUUUUGUUGAAGCUUGUAUGUUGAAGCUUUGUGAGUGAAGCAUGUAGGUUAAGGUAAUGCUCCCUUAAUUUCCCGAGUGAAGAAAACUUCUCGUUUGGAGACUUGAAAAAUCCAAGUCACUGAGUGGUCGUGAGACUUCCGAGUAUCAAGGUGCAGUAGCAUAUGGUAGGAGUCCCCCAAGUCUCUGGUCGAGGGAGUUGAUGAAUGAGACAUUUCCUCUCUAAGUGGUAACCCAAAACUCAUUCUUCAUAUAUAUUUGUUAUGAAAGUUGUUAGGCCCAUAGAAGAGGAGGCCUAGGCAAUUAUUUUUUCAAAUUUUUUUUUUCGAUUUUUUUUUUCGAAUUUUCAAAUUUCUGAAAAUAUAUAUAUGUGUUUGUAUGUAUGUAUAUAUUUUAAAGCUUUGUAGGUGAAGCUUUGUAGGUUGAAGCUUUGUUGGGUACCAUGAAUUGAUUUUGCUUCACACUAUAUUGAUCAAGAUAAUGUGAAGCUUUUGUAGGUGAAGCUUUUGUGUUGAAGCUUUGUAGGUGAAGCUUUUGUGGUGGGUGAAGCUUUUAUGGGUGAAGCUUUUGUGGUGGGGGAAGCUUUUGUGGGUGAAGCUUUUGUGAUGGGGGAAGCUUUUAUGGUGGGGGAAGCUUUUGUGGGUAAAGCUUUUGUGGUGGGGGAAGCUUUUGUGGGUGAAGCUUUUGUUGGUGAAGCUUUUAUGGGUGAAGCUUUUGUUGGUGAAGCUUUUGUAGUGGGUGAAGCUUUUGUGGUGGGUGAAGCUUUUGUAGGUGAAGCUUUUGUAGGUGAAGCUUUUGUUGGUGAAGCUUUUAUGGAUGAAGCUUUUGUAGGUGAAGCUAUUGUGGGUGAAGCUAUUGUGGGUGAAGCUUUUGUAGGUGAAGCUUUGGAGUUGAAGCUUUGUAGGUGAAGCUUUGUAGGUGAAGCUUUGGAGUUGAAGCUUUUGUUGCGUACCAUGAAUUGAUUUUGCUUCACACUAUCUUGAUCAAGAUAGUGUGAAGCUUUUGAGAAUUUGUAGUUGUCCUCCAUUGAUGAAGCUUUUGUUGGUGAAGUUUUGGAGUUGAAGCUUUUGUUGGGUACCAUGAAUUGAUUUUGCUUUACACUAUCUUGAUCAAUAUAGUGUGAAGCUUUUAAGAAUUUGUAGUUGUCUUCCAUUGUUGAAGCUUUUGUUGGUGAAGCUUUUGUGGUGAAGCUUUGUUGGGUACCACGAAUUGAUUUUGUUUCACACUCUUGAUCAAGAUAGUGUGAAGCUUUUGAGAAUUUGUAGUUGUCCUCCAUUGAUGAAGCUUUGUUGAAUUUCCCUUUUUUUUUUCUUUUUCUUUUUUUGGGAAACUAGAAGUUUGAAAAUGUGGGAGAGACAACAUAUACAAAUUUUGCUUCCACACUAUUGAGCAAGAGAUUGUGAUGCAAGUCACACCUUGUAGUAGUCAAAGGUUUGGAUGAACCAUAUAAAUUGAAUUUGCUUUGAACAUUCUUGAAUUUGCUACGAAGGUUUGAGAAUUGUAGUUGCCCUCCAUUGAUGAAGCUUUUGUUGGCACCAUAAAUUGGUUUUGUUUCACACUGUCUUGAUCAAGAGUGUGUGAAGCUUUUGAGAAUUGUGGUUGAACUCCUUUGAUGAAGCUUUUGCUGGCACCAUAAAUUGGUUUUGCUUCACACUGUCUUGAUCAAGAGUGUGUGAAGCUUUUGAGAAUUGUGGUUGAACUCCUUUAAUGAAGCUUUUGUUGGCACCAUAAAUUGGUUUUGCUUCACACUGUCUUGAUCAAGAGUGUGAAGCUUUCUAUGAGUUGUAGUGUUUGCAUUAUUACAGAGGGGAAAUGUCUGAAGCAGAUGAAAGAAGGCUGAAUAGCUUGAUCUUCGUAUGCCAUGCACUAAAGUUGUUGUUGGCUUGUAAUAAGACUUUGUUGGUGACUAUAACUCUUGUUGGGCAUAAGUGCUCCCGUAGUUGAGUUGUCAAGCUUGAGGGUUUUUGAUUAUUUAUGAAUGCUAGGAGUUCACAUAUACAAGUUGUACCACUCGUCUUCUGGUAGAUGGAAUGAAUGGUGAGUUGCUUUCAUCACUUGGUUGGUGGUACGAAGAUGAGUUCUUUCUUCACCUAGUUGGUGGCAUGAGUGACAAGUUGCCAAAUGAUAUUAGAGUACGGGUUGUACAUUUCAUCACCUGGUUGGUGGCAUGAAGGAGAGUACGGGUUGUACAUUUUAUCACCUGGUUGGUGGCACGAAGAUGAGUACCUUCUUCACCUGGUUGGUAGCAUGAGUGGCAAGUUGCCAAAUGAUAUUAGAGUACGUGUUGUACAUUUCAUCACCUGGUUGGUGGCAUGAAGGAGAGUACGGGUUGUACAUUUCAUCACCUGGUUAGUGGCAUGAAGAUGAGCUCCUUCUUCACCUGGUUGGUGGCAUGAGUGGCAAGUUGCCAAAUGAUAUUAGAGUACGGGUUGUACAUUUCAUCACCUGGUUGGUGGCACGAAGAUGAGUUCCUUCUUCACCUAAUUGGUGAGAAUAAAGGUAAAGUGUCGAGGCACAUUGUAGCAAGUGUCGAAGACAUAAAGUAUGUUAAACCAUUUCGAAGCACAGUUGGCUUAUGUAUGGAUGUGUUGGAAUGUAUGAUGUUUAUGUAUGAAUGUGUUGGAAUGUAUGAUGUUUAUAUUGAUUGAUAUGAGUGAUGCUUAUGAAUGUUUUGUUAUGCAUGAAGGGAUCCAUGCUUUUGAUAUGUUAACCAUGUUGGUUGUAACACUUAGUAUCACAUACUUUGUGUCAAAGUAUGCAUGUUGAAGCUCUGAGUUGGAGUAUAAGGGUAGGUCAGCGUAGACCAAGUGUUCUAGUGCUAGGAACGCAAAAGACUUAGAAGAAGUUGUCUGAAUUCCCUUUUCUUUAAAUAUUUGCCGAAUGGCUUAUGUGACAAAAGAUCUCAAGCAGUUGAGAGUCAAAACAUUUGUAAUGUGUAUGCCUUCUUAUAAUAGCAUUUCCUUCAGUACUUAGUCCUCCACUUUGAAAAAGUAAGGCUUGGCCCCAUAGUCGUAAUAGUUGACGGUACGUUCACCCCUAAUUGUCUUGAUACGAACUUUUAUUCCUCUUAUUGUAAUGGGUUUGCUGAGAGUAAAAAUCCUUCAUCUUACCAAGAGACAGAUACGUUUGGUGACUUAGCGAGUAGCUAAAUGAGGCAGGAGAUGAUGCAAUGAGUGUCUGAAUGGCCAAGAUCUCCUCACUUGGUAGAACUUGACUUCCACUUCCCACUUGUUGAUAGGAGUUAACCAUAUAGGGGUUCCCUUGGUAUGUCCUUGCUUCGGCGGAGGCGUGGAUGUAAGCCUAUGUCAUCACCUCAAAGUAAGUCUUCCAAGUGUUGCAUUGAUCAUGUACUUGAAGAAACAAUCAUGUGCCUGCCCUGAAGACCUUGAGAGCGGUCUUGUCAUAUGCCUCAGCGUAGCGAGAAUACUCAUUGCUGAAGCGACCGGCAUACUCUCGUAGUGACUCAUCCGGCUUCUAGUGAAUAGUGUACAAGUCAUCUGUAGAAUGCAAGCAAUCAGUCUGGAAGAUGUGUUGAGAAACAAACAGUUUCCUCAAUUCCUCAAAUGAGUCUACUGUUUCAGGUGGAAGAUGGCAAUACCAGUUUAAAGCUUUGCGAGAGAGGGUGGAGAGGAAGAGAAGACAUCGCUCUUCGUCGGUGUGUAUCUGAUAUGCCAGGGUGGACUCAAAGAGGUUAAGGUGUUCAAUUGGGUCAUCCCUUCCAGUAUAUAGUUGUAAACCAAGAUUUUGUUUUGUCUUCGCUUGAAGGGGGUGUCGAGGAUCCUCCUUGUGAGAGGGCCAGGCCUGGGUUGGUUCCGGUCAGGUAUCUCGGCGUGACGUUGGGCCUUCAACUUGUUUACUUCUUCAAUGAGCUAUAGGACAAGGGGGUCCUGAGUGGAGCCAUGUACCAUUGGAAUUUUCUUUCGUAAAUCUCCAUCGCAUCUUAGAAGUAGGAAAGUUUGAGUAAGGGCGUGUGGUUUUUCUUGGACUCGUCGUACUGACUUCUAGGGCGAGUCUAUCAGAAUACCUUAGAGUCCCAUGUACCUUCAUGUUCCUUUGGGACCUGUUGUUCUUUCCCUAGAUUGGCAGCAGGCCUGGGUCCUGGGAGGGGACCGAGUCUUUCAGAAACCCUUGGGUCAUUGAUCCUCGAGCAUAUGUGGAGGGGAUUCUCUCGACGUUGCUUUAAGAAGUCUCGGCAGUCACGAUAAACGACUUUCGAUCCUUCCAACCCUUCUACAAUGAGGUGUCUUCCUCCACUUCUCAUGUUUUGGGUCGAAGCAUCUGGGUUGAGAGAAGUCUCAUGUUGAUCAAUGUUUUGAUGAUUAGCUCGCUCCUCAACAGGGAUACCCAUGUCAAAGGGAGGUGACCCUCCGUGUUGGGGGGUACCUAGAUGAUAGUUGAUGUCCACAAAGGCAACCAACUCGCGUGUUUAAGUACGCCUAGUUUCGUGGAACGUCUCAAAGAGCUUCUCAUACUACUCCUGGAGGACCUCAUUCUUCAUUGCUAUCUUGUUGUUCUGAGCUUCUAGCUCAUCGACUUUAGCUUGAAGAGCAACCCUUUUUCCUUCCUUCUUUCGUUGCUUCGCACUAGGUGCAAGAUGGGUGUCAUUCUGUGUGUUGUGGCUUCCUUCGCUCCCCAUGUUGGAGAGGGAUGCCUGGUCAAAAGAGAGUGUACGAAUGGUGGAAACCAGCUUGGCAAAGUUGAAGAGAGUGGGAAUAAGUGUUGUUCCCACAGACGGCGCCAAAUGUUGAUGCACAAAAUCAGCGAGGACUUUGGUACAACAGAAAGUAUUAAGUUUGUGACCUUCACUAGAUUGCUCCGAUCACUAGUGUGGAUAAGUAUGUAAAUGGAUAGAGACAGGGAAGCAAACACAAGAUGUACAUGGUUCACCCAGAUUGGCUACAUCCACGAAGUAGAUGAGUUCUCAUUAAUUGUGAAGGAUUUACACAAGUACAUAGAUUCAAGCUCUCAUUUUGUGAGUACUAGUGAAUGAUUUAGUACAAAUGACAUUAGGAAAUAUUGUGAGAGAAUGAUCUCUAUUUAUAGAAGAGAGUUUCUAGUUUCAUUCUGACAUUAACACGUGUCGUGUUGUGAUUGGCUUUUGAUAUUGACAUGUGUCGCGCUAUGAUUGGCUUUUGAUGUCGACACGUAUCGCACUGUGAUUGGCCUCCUGGUUGGAGGGAAACUUUUCUGGGUUCUUGAUGGUAUAACGUUAACCGGUGCUCAGUAGUUUCGGGAUUGGUCAAGUAUGGUACAAACACACAUGUAUACAUGGUUGUUGCCAACAACAAAAGCAGCAUUAGCAGCAUUCCGUUUCCAAUGAACGAAACCAUACUUAUUUUUGAAAUUUUAUGGUCUUUGGUUUGAAGACGUAUAAUUAGAAUCUGAGUAUUGCUUCUUUUUGUUUUUAUAGUUGCUAGGUUUUUCAUAGAGUCUCUGACUAGAUAGUGCUCAGAUUGCGCUUCUUGGGUAACUUGUUUAGGUUCACAAAACCUAGACUACCUAGUAAAAACUGUUAGGACUAAAUUGGAAAAGCAAUGAAGAAAAGGAAAAUCAGUGAAAUUUUUAUCGCUCAGCAUUCCAUGUUUAAUAACAAAUGGACAUUGAAUUUGGUCAGCUUUAACCAAAAUUUAAUGCUGUCAUCUUCUCUAUCAGUUUGACCAAAAUACGCUUUAUUAUUCUUAUGACCAUAUUAUUUCCUUUUUAACCUAUCGUGUUCAGGUUGAAACCUUUCUUUGACGUAGUUUAGAUAAACUUAGUGUAAUAUCUUAUCAAUUGUCGAAAAAUAAAACAUAAUUUUGUCGAAGGAGAACUCGAAGUUAGAACAUUGGGUACAAGGAGGAAUGUUUUUCACUUAAUGAGCUACAAGUGCCUUUGCAGUUUAUUUGUUAUUACCAACUAGCUAUUAGUCUAAAGGUAUUUUCUCUUUGUUAUUCGUGUUAGAGACAUGGCCCGUAUCCCUGCCAAUGUUGCAGAUUCUUCUAGAAUUAGUUAAACUUUAUUGGGGUGCAUGUAUUGUAUCUUUGUACAUUUAACUGAGUACAUCCUUGUACAUUGAACUGUAUUAAUUUACCCACCUGAAUUGGAUCUCUUGUAUUCCUAUAUAAUAUAACGUUUGUUAUCAAUCAAACUGUCCAGUCAAUUACUUCAAGUCCUAUUCUCUCCAAUGUCUUCUAGGUUUGUUUCAUUACAAUUCGAAUCUCCCCUCUACGAUUAAUCACCAGAACAAAUAAAUAUAUAGUUCAAUAUGUUGGGAUAUAUUUAGGGAUGGCAACGGAUCGGUUUGGGGAUGGAAAUGCUAUAUUCAUCCUCAUAACCAUGAAAAUUAACCAUAUUCAUAACCACAAAUUAACCAUCGGGUAUUAUCCAUAAUCAUACCCACCGGAUAAUGGAUUUCCAUCGGUUAAUGGUUAUAUCCAUCUUCAUUAAUACAAAAAAUAUAUUCGUCUAAUUGACGCAUGAUAAUUUAGUAAAUAUUAAUUUCGUCAUUAAAUAUUUGAUGUAUAAAGUGAUUUAAUUAAUGGAUCUUGUGGAACAUAAAAAUUAAAGCUAAACAUUGAUAAUGUUGGUUGAUUUUUGAUAUCUUGCAUAAAUACUAUUAAAUUCUUAUAGAUUUUUAUUCAUAUCAAAACUUUUGUACUUUGCCACAAAAUGCAACUCACACAAUGCAAUUUUUUGUAUUCUCAAGGUAAUGGAUUCGGUGAAUAAUGAAUAUACAUAUAAUUAUAUUAUAUAUUAUUGGGUUUCGAUUCAGGUACGGAUAUGGAUUGGGGACCCCUAUAAUCAUAUCCAAAAUCAUAACCGAAUAAUAUUCACGGUUUUUCCCCAUACCCAAAAUAUACCAAAAUUUUCAUACCCAAAUCCAAUCUAUUCGAGCGGUUAUUCACUGUUAUCAGGUUUAAUGGUUAGAAUUGUCAUCCCUAGAUAUAUUGGGACAAAUUUACUGCUGAGAUUAUGACAAUUUGGAGUGCUGCUGAGAUUAUAAGUAAGGCUGUUAGAAAUUAGUGUGUUUAGAGACAAGUUCUUAAAGAGUUUGGAGUGUUAUUCUAUAGUCUAUACCAGCAACUCUGUUCUCCCUUCUUGGUAUCAGAAAACAAUUUCAAUAAAAUCAUUCGGUUUUUCUCUUCAUUUAUCUAUCUCAACACAAUAACUAUUUGUGUACAUAUGGCUCGUCUACAAUUUCACAAACAUAAUUCUGUAUCAACUUUCAGGAAUAUGUAGCAAAGUAUCACAUCACGUAGAUACCAGCAAGUUUUCCGUGAUCUGCUUAAAGAAGAGCACCAAUUUAUCACGACCAGGAAGAUUUUCUUCGAUUAAGGGACUUAUGUGAAGUCCUUAGCCCAUUCGUACAAGCGCGUCUUCAAUGACUCCAAACCAAUGAGCAAUUCCACCAAAGGCACUGUCCACUAUUCCAAUGUUAUAUCCUCCGAAAAACUUCUUUUCUCUAAGAGUACGAGCUGCCUGCACUUCUAUCGUUCUUAGCAUCUCCAAGUUAUCUUUCUUGGCCUUCUCUUGCUCUUCGCUGGUGGUUCGGAAGACCAUCCAAAUCGCAGGGCCCUGUUAGAUUAGAAACAAUUUUAUCGGUAUAAGUACGUAAGGGUUUUUCUUGGUGACCGGUCCCAUGCACGAAAUUGUCUCAUCAUAUGAUAAUUCAGAAUAUAUAUUAUGAAGUAAUUCACUUAAGACAUAAAAAGCAGACACAAUUGUUGCUUAUACUUUCUAACAUGUACUAUUAAUCAUGUAGAAGCUAGAAUCAUGUCCGAACGCGUGGCUAGAACAUCACCUUAUAGCUUAGGUAAUUAAACAUGUACGUCCACACGAAAAGUGAAACAUUUUUUGCUCAGAAUUUUUUCUAGAGAAGAAGUACGUAGUACUUCCCUUUUCCACUAAGCCCAACUUCCUCCCCUUUUCGGUGGGAGUUGUUCUCUCGUGUUGGGAGUGCUUCUCACUUUCUUGUGUGAGUGACCGGUAUUUUCCUUGCUUUGUUCAGCCGGCGGCCCUAGCGGGGGCAAGGUCGGUGGCAACCCGUCCUUUUUCUUUGUUCCCUCUUUUCCUUUUCCUUUUUUUUUCCUCCUCUGCCCGUCUAUUCCGGCAUGUUUUUCUUCUUCCUCUUGCCUAUGAUCUAACUGACCAUAGUCCUCCAUCAGAAAUUUCUCAAUUCCGACUAUCUUUUUCCCCUUCCCUUGCUGUUUUUCCACAUCAAUGACACUUUUCAACCCAUUUUCUACUUAUCCCCAGUGGUUUCGGCCUCUCUUGAUCCCACAAUUCCUCCGAUCUACAACUGUUUCUUUUUAUCGUGUUUCGCGGCUUUCUAGGAAGGUGUUUAGCGCUCUAGCUCGGGUGGUCACACCACCACCUUCCAUUUGUAUGCUGUUGUUGGCACUUUACUUAUGGGAUUUUUUUUCCCAUGAGUUUCAUUUAUGGUGGAUGCGGAUUAGAGUUUUGUGGCUUGAUGGAGGAGGGUGGAAUCUUCUCCUUUCUGAUUUGGAGGCUUUGUUUGGUUGAUCCCAGUGACGACAAGAGGUGGUGGUUCGUGGUCGGCGGUGUUGAAGGCUUCUGUAUACCUAGGGUUUUUUUCAAAUUUCUAUUUGUUUGUUUUGGCUCAAACUUUGGGUUGGACCUUUUUGCUUUUGGAUCCAUAUUUUAGUUUUGGGCUUUAUAUGUAUUUGGAUCCCAAUUUGUAAGUGUGUGUUUUGUUGGUCAUGAAAUUUACCUUUGUACCAAAAAUUCAAUACGCCGAUUGUGUAAAAUUUACUAAAAGGGAGAGAGGAGGUACGGCAAUAGAGUGUAGAGAAUAAGGCGCAGGGAAAUUAUAGGAUGUAUUUUUUUUUUUAUGCCAGUGCCUUUCUUUAUAGUAAACCAUGUGGAAAGGGAAACUCAUUUCUCUAAGUAAUACAAAGUCUAACAGGAAAGAUAUCAUUAGAAUAAAGAAUAAUCAUAAACCCAAUCUACCUAGGAUUUACACAAUCACAUAAUGUUAAAUAUUUAUCACAAACUCCCCUUGAGUGUGUAAAUACUCAAGUACAUAUCAAAUCAGAUCUUGCAAAGAUAGUUAAUGAAGUCGUCUCGUUCGCAUUGAUAGAGUAACAUGCUAGUCUCAAACAAGGAAGUUGCAUAUGUAAAUAAGUCUCACAAAACUUGGCUAUGGUAAAACUCAAGGUGGGACAAAAACCCACAAUCUAAGAAAAAAAUAUGAAUUAAUGCAAAGUCCAUAUUAGGCGUCUUGACACACCUCAACCCAAAUUGAGGCAUGUUGGCCAUCACGUGAGGGUGACGUAGCCAUGUGUGCGGUGCGGAAGUGAUAGUGAUAUGAAAAUGUGAGUCAAUAAACACCAAACUAACUAAAUUACACUAUACUAAUAUAUAAGUGCGAGUGAAAAUAUUUAAGUAUAGUUACACUUAUUUAGAACGUGGGUAACCUAAGUGCAAUCCAGCAUGUCAAAUACUAAUUAUACAAUACCAGAGAGAUGAUCCUACAUUAUUUAUAAUCUGUCAGAACCGCCGCCGACUCCUCGUAAGCCACCAAGAAGCACGCCUACCUACAACCUAGAAGGGUGCAAAACAGAAAGUGUGAGUGGGCAAAAACAAAGUUUUCAAAACCAUUUCUCUUUCAAAAAGUAAUAACCCCUCGCCGUAAAACCUGUAUAAUUUCCCAGAACCUAGCAUACAUACAUAUCCAGAAACCAUACUCGAAAAUAGUGAAAUCCCGACAAAUGCCGUGUCAAAUAUCUCAGUAUAAUAAAUAAUCAAGGCAGGUGAAGUAAAUAAAUGAAAGGUAAUAUGCCAGCCAGAUCCACCUAGUGUGGCCUGUACAGCUGAACCUAUAGCUCAUCAAGUAUGCCUACACACGAGUCGGAACCACCUAGUGUAGUCUGUACGACAGGGUUAGGUGUAAUAAGUACACUCAAGUGCUACGAUCACAUGAAGGCUGUACGAUAAAUCGUAAGUCACUUACAAGUCGGAACCACCUAUUGUGGUCUGUACGACAAGGCUGUGCACCAAACUUGGAUCCAAGGUGAUGGUGCGGUGCAAGAAGUGAACAUCACGUGAAGGACUGUACCAUGGCCACGGGCGGGUGCACUAACACCGGGGUGCAAGUUUAUGAGCUCUAAAUGCAUCUUAGUAUAAUCAUACACACUACAAUCACUACCAUCAAUAUUUACUCACCUGAAGCUUACAUGAGCAUCCGCAGCAUCAAGCAACAAUAUGCAUAACUAUACUAAUGCAUAUUCUAAAAUGUAAUGCAAAUGACAUGGCAUUUAAAACAUAAAACCAUUUAAAACAAUUUCUGGGAAAACGUAAAGCAUAUAUACGUAUAUAUAUAAAACCAAAAGCCCAUUCACUGGUAUGUGGCAGGGUCGUAACCCCCAUCUCACCUAUAUGUGAAACAACUAAUUUAACGUUAAUUUAAGCACAUAACCAAAAAUAUGUAAUAACUUCUCAUAAGUUGCUCAACUGGAGUGUUUGAAUAUACCAUUGUGGCCUACUUAACACCACGAACAUUCCCAUAUUUUUAGAAAAAAUUUCUAAUAUCUUAUGCGCCGUCAUGCACCGGCCAAGGCACGACCACACACAUCGGCUACGCACAGGCACAUGGACGGAAUCUUUAACGUCGUUAAAAAAUAUUCUGCUAAAUAAUAGAAAUUCCGUUAAAUAUACCUGAUGCGGUUAGGUAUAUUCCAUCAAAAUUAACGAAAUAUUCGCCUUCUUCUCCGGUGGUUCGUCGGAUUCUGUCUCCAGCUGCCGUCUGUGUCACCGGAAACUGGAAAAUCUUUAAACCUUAAUAUCUUCUUCAUUUUUCAACCAAAUUUCAUGAAAUUUAUACCAAAAUGAAGCUCUAAACGAGUAGAACAUGUUCUUACCACUUUGAAGUCUUAAAACUCACAUAAAAUAGUCAAAGAAUUCCUCGAUAAUCCAGUCAAAACUGCAACUCAAGGAACUAACCUAUCCCGACAUCCAAAACCUUCCAAAACUUCUUUAUGAUCUUUGUGAAGUUGUUUUAAGACUCCCUUGAGCUUUGAAACUCCGUUAAAUUCCCAUGAUCACUACGGAGUAGCAGAGCACCUCGCCGGUGCUCAUUGGUUCCCGAGUUCCCGAGGUCUUGUCUCUAAACUAAUGGUAUGACUGUGUUCCUGGACUUGCAAGGAAUUCAAAAAUAGCCUCCACUAACUCGAUCUGUGUAGGAUGAAGCUGGUCAAGUGUAUGGAUGUACUGAUUGUACAGACGAGGGAAGGAUCGAGAGAGAUGGUGAAGGUAUAUACGUCUGUGUAUGUGUGUGCGUGUGGUCCAGAUUGGGUGUAUAUAAAAAAUCUUAAGCCCCAAUUAGGCUACCAAGUCGAGGGCUAAAAUUAAUCCAAAAAAACCCCAUUUCCAAAUGGAUCCAAGGAAAUAGGAAGUGAAGUAAUUGGUCUAUUUUCUUAGCCCGCUUAUACAUUCACAACACAUCGUUCCAAAGACAAAUCAUCAUUUCCACGUUUCCGAGGACAAGAUAUAUUUUAAUUCGAGACGGGUCGUCGCAACCUACCCCCUUAAGGAAAUUUCGUCCCCGAAAUUUCAUACAAUAAUAUAACAAACCAUUAAUAUCCGUAAAACAGGCAUGGAUACAUAUCUCUUAUACGAUUCUCCGUCUCCCAGGUUGCUUCCUCUACUGAAUGGUUCCUCCAUAAAACUUUCACUACGCGCACAGUUUUAUUCCUCAUAACCUUAUCCUUCCAAUCCAAAAUCGUCACUGGCUCUUCGUCAUAAGUCAAAUCGGGAUUAAUUUCCAGUGGUUGAGGAGGUAUCACGUGUGAUGGAUCGGAGACAUAAUGGCGAAGCAUAGAAACAUGAAAAACAUCAUGCGCCUAAGAUAACUCAAGAGGCAACUUAAGCCUGUAGGCAACUUCACUAACUCGUUCGGUAAUCUGGUACAGUCCAAUGUAUCUAUGACUUAACUUACCCUUCUUCCUGAACUGUACCACCCCUUUCCACGGUGAUAGCUUCAAAAAUACCCAAUCACCAACAUUAUACACCCUAUCAGUGGCGUGUUUAUCAAUUAGAUUCUUUUGUCGAUCCUAGGCCGCUUUCAGGUUAGAUUUAAUUACCUGAAUAUUCUGUGUAGUCUCGUCCACAAUCUCAGGGCCCACCAAUACUCUUUCACCAACCUCUGACCAGUAUAAAGGAGUACGACAAGACAUACCAUAACGUGCCUUAAAAGGUGACAUACCAAUGCUAGAAUGGUAGCUAUUAUUGUAGGCAAACUCCAUCAAAUCCAAACGCCGAUGCCAAGCGUCACCAAAUUGCAAUACAGAAGAUCUUAGCAUAUCCUCCAGCGUCUGAAUAGUCCUCUCAGAUUGCCCAUUUAUUUGUGGAUGAUAUGUUGUACUAUAAAGUAAUCUCGAACCAAAAGCCUCCUGAAAUGCCACCCAGAACUUAGAAGUGAACGUAGGAUCCCGAUCAUAAAUGAUAUUAACCGGAACCCCAUGGUAUCUAACAAUUCUUGAUAUAAAUAAAGUGUGCUGCUUUAGUAAUCGAUCCACUAUCACCCAAAUGCCAUAAUAACCAUUUCGUGUACGAGGAAGCUUGUACGAAAUCCAUGGUAAUAUUUUCCCAUUUUUACUAUGGAACGAGAAGUGGCUGCAUUAGUCCAAAAGGCUUCUUCCUCUCAGCUUUGACUUGUUGACAAAUUGCACAUCUACUCACAUAUUCAACAAUUUCUCUUUUCAUGCUAGGCCAGUAAUAAAAAGGUUGAAUGGUGGGAUACAUCUUAGUACUCCCAGGAUGCAUCGCAUAUGCCGAUAUAUGCGCUUCAUCAAGAAUAUCUUUCUUUAAUUCUACAUUAUUUGGCACGUACUUUUGACUUCCCUGCAUAAGCAUGCCAUCAAAUCCCCGAUUUCUGAGAUCUUUCUUCUUCCCUCGUGACACUACCUCUGCUAAUACUUGGGAUUCCUCAUCCUCUGCUUGAGCUUCUAGCACACAAUUAAUUAAAAUUGGUCUGACUUAGAAACUAGCAAGUAAAGCUUAUUCCCGAUCUUCUACUCUUAACUUUACUCUAGUGGAUCUCAAAUCUGUGAGAAGGGAAAAACGACAAGCAUAUAAGGCAUUAAGUUUGCAUUGAGAUUUCCUACUAAGCGCGUCUGCCACCACACUUGCACGACUAAGGUGAUACUUAAUUUUGUAAUCAUAAUCGAUGAGCAAUUCUAUCCACCUCCACUGGCGAAGAUUAAGAUCUCUCUGAGUGAAAAGAUACUGAAGACUUUUAUGAUCCGUGAAAAUCUUACAUUUUUCUCCAUAAUGAUAAUGUCUCCAAAUCUUCAAGGCAAAUACAAUGGCUGCUAACUCAAGAUCAUGAGUAGGAUAAUUCAUCUCAUGAGGUUUCAACUGUCGCGAAGCAUAAGCAAUCACCCUAUCAUGCUGCAUCAAUACACAACCCAGACCAUGCAAAGAAGCAUAACUAUAAAUCUCAAAAUUACCAUUGUCGUCUAGAAACACCAAAACAGGUGCAUGGGUGAGACAAUACUUUAGUUGCUGGAAACUUUGCUCACAAUUAUCAUCCCACUCAAAUUUAACAUCCUUUCUAGUCAACCUCGUCAGUGGUAAUGCUAUGGUUGAGAAAUCUUUAACAAACUAUCUAUAAUAACCUGCUAGGCCAAGGAAACUUCGUACCUUUGUGACGGUUCGUAGUUGCUCCCAAUUCUCAACGGUCGCUACCUUCUGUGGAUCCACUUGAAUACCUUGAGCGGACAUGACAUGCCCCAAAAAUGCUACUUGAUCUAACCAAAACUGGCAUUUGCUAAACUUAGCAUAUAAUUAGUGUUUCCUCAAUUUCUUCAACACCAAAGUGAGAUGUCGUACAUGUUCGGACUUAGACUUAGAAUACACCAAAAUAUCAUCAAUAAAUACAAUGAUAAACCUAUCAAGAUAUGGCUCGAAUACUCGAUUCAUCCAAGUUCGUAAAAGUUGUAGGUGCAUUAGUUAACUCGAAUGGCAUCACAAGAAACUCAUAAUGACCAUAUCGAGUCCGAAAAGCCGUCUUAGAAACAUCUUCACUUCUGAUCUUUAAUUGAUAAUAACUAGACCUCAAACAAUCUUAGAAAACACGCAGGCACCUCGAAGCUGGUCAAAUAAAUUAUCUAUACGGGGCAACGGAUAAUGGUUUUUAAUCGUUACCCGAUUCAGCUGCCGAUAGUCAAUACACAGCCUUAAAAUCCCGUCUUUCUUCCGUACAAAUCAAACUGGAGCUCCGCAAGGUGAAGUAGUAGGCUGAAUGAAACCCUUAUCAACCAAUUCCUGUAACUAAAUUUUUAAUUCCCUCAGUUUAGCAGGAGCCAUUCGAUAAGGAGUUAAAGAAAUAGGAUAUGUACCUGGAAGUAAAUUAAUAGUGAACUCCACUUCUCAGUCUAGUGGUAGUCCAGGUAAAUCAUUAGGAAAUACGUCAGGAAAAUGCCUGACUACCCGUACAUCCUCCACACUUAUAGAAGUAUCUACAUUUAAUACCCCUGAAAACCUUUCCUCAAUAACCUUUUAACCCUCAUGGUGGAGAUAACGUCGUGUCUCACUCCACCACGCUCACCCAUAAAUGUGACCAUAGGUAAGCCUGCACUUCUAGAAGCAACCUCCAUGUUCUGGGACUGUCCCUUAGGAUACCACUGUGAUCCACCAGCUGAAUAUGGCGGAUAUGGCGUAUAACCUCCUGGAUACUGAGCAUAACCACUAUGAUGAUACGGAUCGUGUGGUUACUAAUACUGUCCUCCAGAAUAUGGAGCUAUAUCAUCCUGAUAAUGAUAAGCACCCCAAUGACCUGUCUGGUUAUAACCACUAAGCCCUGGAACCUGAUGAAUCAGAACUAGUGGUGGUAAGGAAGGUGGCUGGGGCUUCUGCUGGUUCUGCGGGCACUGAAUAGCCCGAUGUCCCAUCUGGCCACAAGUGAAACAUUCGCUGCUACCUUGCCUACACUCCCCAAAAUGCCGAUUGUUGCACCUACGACACAAAAGAGCACUUGCGCGCUACUAGAAUCCUUUUGCCUUGGAACCGAGAAUAGGGAUGGGCAAAAUACCCAUGGAUAUGGGUAACCGCUGUUACCCACCCAUUUAAAGUUAACGGUUAUGGUUAUGGGUAACCAUUUAGACAAAUAAACGGUUAUGGGUAUAACCGUUUAUCCAUGAAAUUUAAAUGGACGGUUAUGGGUAUUAUCCGCGGUUAUAACGGGUAUCCAUCGGUUAUGGGUAAUAUUCAUGGUUAUAAUGGGUAUCCAUUUACCCAUUUAAUUUAAUAUAUGUAAAAUUUAAAAAAAAAUUAAAAACCCUCAGAGAAUAAGUUACAACUUCGUCACUCUCUCUCUCCGUCCCUCUCUCUCUCCGCCUCUCGACUUCGUCGCUCUCUCUAUCCAUUUACCCAUUUUUUGUUCUUUGGUUAUCUGAAUGUAAAAAUACAACUAGGAGAGAAUAUAUAACAUAGUUUUUGCCAUCCUAUUUAGAAAUCAGACUAAACGUGGAUACUGGACCUGCUUUCCUCCACUUUUGAGGAGAACUAUCAUUGUACAGUUUGGUCUGUAGCUGAGAAGUUCUCAUUCGAAGGACUCGGUAUUGCAAGAGUUAUACUGGACCUGCUUCCUGAACUUCCAUAAUUUAUUGGUUGUUAUACAGAAUAAAAAAAAACUGAUUGGUUGCUAUACAGAAAAAUAUCGUUCGUAAACUAUUAUUUCAAUUAUUGGAAUUAUAUGAGGACUUAAAUGAUUAAAA